GGUUAGGGUUAUGGUUAGGGUUAGGGUUGGAGCUAGGGUUAGGGUUAGGGUUAGGGUUGGAGUUAGGGUUAGUGUUGGAGCUAGGGUUAGGGUUGGGCUUGGAGCUAGGAUUUUUCUGAGUGCACUGAACCAACUCCCGAGUCUCUAGGACAUUCCUAAAAAAAAUUGAUUUUUUCCCAUAGGAAUGCAUGGGUUAGGGUUAUGGUUAGGGUUAGGGUUGGAGCUAGGGUUAGGGUUAGGGUUAGGGUUGGAGUUAGGGUUAGUGUUGGAGCUAGGGUUAGGGUUGGGCUUGGAGCUAGGAUUUUUCUGAGUGCACUGAACCAACUCCUGAGUCUCUAGGACAUUCCUAAAAAAAUUUGAUUUUUUCCCAUAGGAAUGCAUGGGUUAGGGUUAUGGUUAGGGUUAGGGUUGGAGCUAGGGUUAGGGUUAGGGUUAGGGUUGGAGUUAGGGUUAGUGUUGGAGCUUUGGUUAGGGUUGGGCUUGGAGCUAGGAUUUUUCUGAGUGCACUGAACCAACUCCCGAGUCUCUAGGACAUUCCUAAAAAAAUUUGAUUUUUUCCCAUAGGAAUGCAUGGGUUAGGGUUAUGGUUAGGGUUAGGGUUGGAGCUAGGGUUAGGGUUAGGGUUAGGGUUGGAGUUAGGGUUAGUGUUGGAGCUAGGGUUAGGGUUGGGCUUGGAGCUAGGAUUUUUCUGAGUGCACUGAACCAACUCCCGAGUCUCUAGGACAUUCCUAAAAAAAUUUGAUUUUUUCCCAUAGGAAUGCAUGGGUUAGGGUUAGGGUUAGGGUUAGGGUUGGAGCUAGGGUUAGGGUUAGGGUUAGGGUUGGAGUUAGGGUUAGUGUUGGAGCUAGGGUUAGGGUUGGGCUUGGAGCUAGGAUUUUUCUGAGUGCAAUGAACCAACUCCCGAGUCUCUAGGACGUUCCUAAAAAAAUUUGAUUUUUUCCCAUAGGAAUGCAUGGGUUAGGGUUAGGGUUAGGGUUGGAGCUAGGGUUAGGGUUAGGGUUAGGGUUGGAGUUAGGGUUAGUGUUGGAGCUAGGGUUAGGGUUGGGCUUGGAGCUAGGAUUUUUCUGAGUGCACUGAACCAACUCCCGAGUCUCUAGGACAUUCCUAAAAAAAUUUGAUUUUUUCCCAUAGGAAUGCAUGGGUUAGGGUUAUGGUUAGGGUUAGGGUUGGAGCUAGGGUUAGGGUUAGGGUUAGGGUUGGAGUUAGGGUUAGUGUUGGAGCUAGGGUUAGGGUUGGGCUUGGAGCUAGGAUUUUUCUGAGUGCACUGAACCAACUCCCGAGUCUCUAGGACAUUCCUAAAAAAAUGUGAUUUUUUCCCAUAGGAAUGCAUGGGUUAGGGUUAGGGUUAGGUGUGGGGUUGGAGCUAUGGUUAGGGUUAGGGUUAGGGUUGGAGUUAGGGUUAGUGUUGGAGCUAGGGUUAGGGUUGGGCUUGGAGCUAGGAUUUUUCUGAGUGCAAUGAACCAACUCCCGAGUCUCUAGGACGUUCCUAAAAAAAUUAGAUUUUUUCCCAUAGGAAUGCAUGGGUUUGGGUUAGGGUUAGGUGUGGGGUUGGAGCUAGGGUUAGGGUUAGGGUUAGGGUCGGAGUAAGGGUUAGUGUUGGAGCUAGGGUUAGUGUUGGGCUUGGAGCUAGGAUUUUUCUGAGUGCAAUGAACCAACUCCCGAGUCUCUAGGACGUUCCUAAAAAAAUUUGAUUUUUUCCCAUAGGAAUGCAUGGGUUAGGGUUAGGGUUAGGGUUGGAGCUAGGGUUAGGGUUAGGGUUAGGGUUGGAGUUAGGGUUAGUGUUGGAGCUAGGGUUAGGUGUGGGUAAGAGAUACAGUGAUAGCCCCCGCUUUCGUCUGUUGACUUGGCGGUUUGGGGUAGGCUAAUCAAGGGCUUGCACUGGCCGUCGCAUGUCGACCUGUCACAUGUUCCCAGUCGAGUCUCCGAGCUCAAUCUGUGUGUAAAAAACUAUGUGUGGGUAGGAAGUUUAAUUACUCAGCUCAGUUGGUAUGCUAUGCUGUCUAUCUUUUAGACUAUGUGUUUGUAGAGCAAUUAUUUCUUGAGGUUCAGUUAGGAAUUAGAGUUGGUAUGGUUACCGGUUAAAACAAUAAUAAUAAUAAUAAUAAUAAUAAUAAUAAUAAUAAUAAUAAUAGUGAUAACCAUAAUAAUAAUAAUAAUAAUAAUAAUAGUAAUAAUUUUGUUUAUUGAGAAGGACUAGGUGAUAUUAGUAGGGAGGGAAAAGGGUGAAAUUUAUCUAAGGGAGUAGGGUUAGGGUGUGUUAGUACAAAGUCUCAGAGGAUGGGGAGAGGGAAACAGGUGGUCUGGAUUAAAACCAUUCUGUUUCUACAGGGAUUCGAGUGAUAGAGAGAGAAUAGAACUUGCCACAGUGACUAGCCAGAGAAACUCUCCUCACCUGUUGUUUUUCAUCCUCUGAUACGAAAAAAGAGGGUGGGGUAAUUAAGUAAAGAUAGAGGUUAGUAAGGUUAGGGUUAGGGUUCGGGUUAGGAUUCGGGUUUAGAGGUUAGGGUUAGGGUAAGGGUAAGGGUUAGGGUUAGAUUUAGGGUCUAGAGGUUAGGGUUAGGGUUAGGGUUAGAUUUAGGGUCUAGAGGUUAGGGUUAGGGUAAGGGUUAGGGCUAGGGUUAGAUUUAGGGUCUAGAGGUUAGGGUUAGGGUUAGGGUAAGGGUUAGGGUUAGAUUUAGGGUCUAGGGGUUAGGGUUAGGGUUAGGGUUAGAUUUAGGGUCUAGAGGUUAGGGUUAGGGUUAGGGUAAGGGUUAGGGUUAGAUUUAGGGUAUAGGGGUUAGGGUUAGGGCUAGGGUUAGGGUUAGUUAGGGCUAGGGUUAGGGUUAGGGUAAGGGUUAGGGUUAGAUUUAGGGUAUAGGGGUUAGGGUUAGGGCUAGGGUUAGGGUUAGGGUUAGGAUUUAGAGGUUAGGGUUAGGGUUAGGGUUAGAUCUAGGGUUUAGGGGUUAGGGUUAAAUUCAGGUUCUAGAGGUUAGGGUUAGGGUGAGGGUGAUGGUUAGGGUUAGUGCCUGAAGAGAGCUAACCAUGGCUAUUUGGAAGAAUUGAAAUUCAAAGAAUACGACACUUCAGAUUGUCUAGACUCUGGACUCUGCUAAAGGUAGCAAAGCUAUGGUUGAAAGUAUUGAAAAUGCAGUAUAAAAUAUAUAAGGUUAGUUACUAAUUGUUAUUGAUAAAUUUUUAGUUAAGAGUCAAAAGUGGAUGGUCCCGUGUAGAACCCUCUGUUCCACUCAGGCCUGUGUAGGCCAAAGACCCUGCUAAGGUCCCUCAAGGCUGUGACAAAAAAUUAUUUUAGAUUAAAUUGGAAAUAUAAAUUAUUACUUUUUAAUAAAUUUUAAUUCAGAGUCAAAAGUGGAUGGUCCCGUCUAGAACCUUCUACCACUCAGACCUGUCUAGGUCAAAGACUCUGCUAAGAUCCCUCAAGGUUGUGGACUAAAAUAAUUUUGAAUUGGAAAUAUUUAUAAAUUAUUCCUUUUAAUAAUUUUUUUAAUUAAUUUAAUUCAGAGUCAAAAGUGGAUGGUCCCGUAUAGAACCUUCUGUUCCACUCAGGCCUGUGUAGGCCAAAGACCCUGCUAAGCUUCCUCAAGGCUGUAAUCUAAAAUAAUUUUAGAUUGAAUUGGGUAUAUUUAAAAAUUAUUCCUUUUUAAUAUAUUUUUUUAUUUAUUUCAGAGUCAAAAGUGGAUGGUCCCGUGUAGAACCUUCUGUUCCACUCAGGCCUGUCUAGGCCAAAGACCCUGCUAAGCUUCCUCAAGGCUGUGAACUAAAAUAAUUUUGAAUUGGGUAUAUUUAAAAAAAUUAUUCCUUUUAAUUUAAAUUUUUAUUUCAGAGUCAAAAGUGGAUGGUCCCGUGUAGAACCUUCUGUUCCACUCAGGCCUGUCUAGGCCAAAGACCCUGCUAAGCUUCCCUUAAGGCUGUGACCUAAAAUAAUUUUUGAAUUGGAAAUAUUUAUAAAUUAUUCUUUUUAAAUAAUUUUUUAAUUCAGAGUCAAAAGUGGAUGGUCCCGUGUAGAACCUUCUGUUCCACUCAGGCCUGUGUAGGCCAAAGACCCUGCUAAGUUUCCCUUAAGGCUGUGACCUAAAAUAAUUUUUGAAUUGGAAAUAUUUAUAAAUUAUUAUUUUUAAUAAAUUUUUAAUUCAGAGUCAAAAGUGGAUGGUCCCAUGUAGAACCUUCUGUUCCACUCAGGCCUGUGUAGGCCAAAGACCCUGCUAAGCUUCCUCAAGGCUGUGAACUAAAAUAAUUUUGAAUUGGAAAUAUUUAUAAAUUAUUCCUUUUAAUAAAUUUUUUAAUUCAGAAGAAUUUUAGGUUGAAUUGGGUAUAUUAAUAAAUUAUUGGUCCCGUGUAGAACCUUCUGUUCCACUCAGGCCUGUGUAGGCCAAAGUUGGAGUUAGGGUUAGUGUUGGAGCUAGGGUUAGGGUUGGGCUUGGAGCUAGGAUUUUUCUGAGUGCAAUGACCCAACUCCCGAGUCUCUAGGACGUUCCUAAAAAAAAUUAUUUUUUCCCAUAGGAAUGCAUGGGUUAGGGUUAGGGUUAGGGUUGGAGCUAGGGUUAGGGUUAGGGUUAGGGUUGGAGUUAGGGUUAGUGUUGGAGCUAGGGUUAGGGUUGGGCUUGGAGCUAGGAUUUUUCUGAGUGCAAUGAACCAACCCCCGAGUCUCUAGGACGUUCCCCAAAAAAAUUUGAUUUUUUCCCAUAGGAAUGCAUGGGUUAGGGUUAGGGUUAGGGUUGGAGCUAGGGUUAGGGUUAGGGUUAGGGUUGGAGUUAGGGUUAGUGUUGGAGCUAGGGUUAGGGUUGGGCUUGGAGCUAGGAUUUUUCUGAGUGCAAUGAACCAACUCCCGAGUCUCUAGGACGUUCCUAAAAAAAAUUGAUUUUUUCCCAUAGGAAUGCAUGGGUUAGGGUUAUGGUUAGGGUUAGGGUUGGAGCUAGGGUUAGGGUUAGGGUUAGGGUUGGAGUUAGGGUUAGUGUUGGAGCUAGGGUUAGGGUUGGGCUUGGAGCUAGGAUUUUUCUGAGUGCAAUGAACCAACUCCCGAGUCUCUAGGACGUUCCCUAAAAAAAAUUGAUUUUUUUCCCAUAGGAAUGCAUGGGUUAGGGUUAGGGUUAGGGUUGGAGCUAGGGUUAGGGUUAGGGUUAGGGUUGGAGUUAGGGUUAGUGUUGGAGCUAGGGUUAGGGUUGGGCUUGGAGCUAGGAUUUUUCUGAGUGCAAUGAACCAACUCCCGAGUCUCUAGGACGUUCCUAAAAAAAUUUGUUUUUUUCCCAUAGGAAUACAUGGGUUAGGGUUAGGGUUAGGGUUGGAGCUAGGGUUAGGGUUAGGGUUAGGGUUAGGGUUGGAGUUAGGGUUAGUGUUGGAGCUAGGGUUAGGGUUGGGCUUGGAGCUAGGAUUUUUCUGAGUGCAUUGAACCAACUCCCGAGUCUCUAGGACAUUCCUAAAAAAAUUUGAUUUUUUCCCAUAGGAAUGCAUGGGUUAGGGUUAGGGUUAGGGUUGGAGCUAGGGUUAGGGUUAGGGUUAGGGUUGGAGUUAGGGUUAGUGUUGGAGCUAGGGUUAGGGUUGGGCUUGGAGCUAGGAUUUUUCUGAGUGCAAUGAACCAACUCCCGAGUCUCUAGGACGUUCCUAAAAAAAUUUGAUUUUUUCCCAUAGGAAUGCAUGGGUUAGGGUUAGGGUUAGGGUUGGAGCUAGGGUUAGGGUUAGGGUUAGGGUUGGAGUUAGGGUUAGUGUUGGAGCUAGGGUUAGGGUUGGGCUUGGAGCUAGGAUUUUUCUGAGUGCAAUGAACCAACUCCCGAGUCUCUAGGACGUUCCUAAAAAAAUUUGAUUUUUUCCCAUAGGAAUGCAUGGGUUAGGGUUAGGGUUAGGGUUGGAGCUAGGGUUAGGGUUAGGGUUAGGGUUGGAGUUAGGGUUAGUGUUGGAGCUAGGGUUAGGGUUGGGCUUGGAGCUAGGAUUUUUCUGAGUGCAAUGAACCAACUCCCGAGUCUCUAGGACGUUCCUAAAAAAAAUUGAUUUUUUUCCCAUAGGAAUGCAUGGGUUAGGGUUAGGGUUAGGGUUGGAGCUAGGGUUAGGGUUAGGGUUAGGGUUGGAGUUAGGGUUAGUGUUGGAGCUAGGGUUAGGGUUGGGCUUGGAGCUAGGAUUUUUCUGAGUGCAAUGAACCAACUCCCGAGUCUCUAGGACGUUCCUAAAAAAAUUUGAUUUUUUCCCAUAGGAAUGCAUGGGUUAGGGUUAUGGUUAGGGUUAGGGUUGGAGCUAGGGUUAGGGUUAGGGUUAGGGUUGGAGUUAGGGUUAGUGUUGGAGCUAGGGUUAGGGUUGGGCUUGGAGCUAGGAUUUUUCUGAGUGCAAUGAACCAACCCCGAGUCUCUAGGACGUUCCUAAAAAAUUUGAUUUUUUCCCAUAGGAAUGCAUGGGUUAGGGUUAGGGUUAGGGUUGGAGCUAGGGUUAGGGUUAGGGUUAGGGUUGGAGUUAGGGUUAGUGUUGGAGCUAGGGUUAGGGUUGGGCUUGGAGCUAGGAUUUUUCUGAGUGCAAUGAACCAACUCCCGAGUCUCUAGGACGUUCCUAAAAAAAUUUGAUUUUUUCCCAUAGGAAUGCAUGGGUUAGGGUUAGGGUUAGGGUUGGAGCUAGGGUUAGGGUUAGGGUUAGGGUUAGGGGGUUGGAGUUAGGGUUAGUGUUGGAGCUAGGGUUAGGGUUGGGCUUGGAGCUAGGAUUUUUCUGAGUGCACUGAACCAACUCCCGAGUCUCUAGGACGUUCCUAAAAAAAUUUGAUUUUUUCCCAUAGGAAUGCAUGGGUUAGGGUUAGGGUUAGGGUUGGAGCUAGGGUUAGGGUUAGGGUUAGGGUUGGAGUUAGGGUUAGUGUUGGAGCUAGGGUUAGGGUUGGGCUUGGAGCUAGGAUUUUUCUGAGUGCACUGAACCAACUCCCGAGUCUCUAGGACAUUCCUAAAAAAAUUUGAUUUUUUCCCAUAGGAAUGCAUGGGUUAGGGUUAGGGUUAGGGUUGGAGCUAGGGUUAGGGUUAGGGUUAGGGUUGGAGUUAGGGUUAGUGUUGGAGCUAGGGUUAGGGUUGGGCUUGGAGCUAGGACUUUUCUGAGUGCAAUGAACCAACUCCCGAGUCUCUAGGAGUUCCUAAAAAAAUUUGAUUUUUUCCCAUAGGAAUGCAUGGGUUAGGGUUAGGGUUAGGGUUGGAGCUAGGGUUAGGGUUAGGGUUAGGGUUGGAGUUAGGGUUAGUGUUGGAGCUAGGGUUAGGGUUGGGCUUGGAGCUAGGAUUUUUCUGAGUGCACUGAACCAACUCCCGAGUCUCUAGGACAUUCCUAAAAAAAUUUGAUUUUUUCCCAUAGGAAUGCAUGGGUUAGGGUUAUGGUUAGGGUUAGGGUUGGAGCUAGGGUUAGGGUUAGGGUUAGGGUUGGAGUUAGGGUUAGUGUUGGAGCUAGGGUUAGGGUUGGGCUUGGAGCUAGGAUUUUUCUGAGUGCACUGAACCAACUCCCGAGUCUCUAGGACAUUCCUAAAAAAAUUUGAUUUUUUCCCAUAGGAAUGCAUGGGUUAGGGUUAUGGUUAGGGUUAGGGUUGGAGCUAGGGUUAGGGUUAGGGUUAGGGUUGGAGUUAGGGUUAGUGUUGGAGCUAGGGUUAGGGUUGGGCUUGGAGCUAGGAUUUUUCUGAGUGCACUGAACCAACUCCCGAGUCUCUAGGACAUUCCUAAAAAAAUUUGAUUUUUUCCCAUAGGAAUGCAUGGGUUAGGGGGUUAGGGUUAGGGUUGGAGCUAGGGUUAGGGUUAGGGUUAGGGUUGGAGUUAGGGUUAGUGUUGGAGCUAGGGUUAGGGUUGGGCUUGGAGCUAGGAUUUUUCUGAGUGCACUGAACCAACUCCCGAGUCUCUAGGACAUUCCUAAAAAAAUUUGAUUUUUUCCCAUAGGAAUGCAUGGGUUAGGGGUUAGGGUUAGGGUUGGAGCUAGGGUUAGGGUUAGGGUUAGGGUUGGAGUUAGGGUUAGUGUUGGAGCUAGGGUUAGGGUUGGGCUUGGAGCUAGGAUUUUUCUGAGUGCACUGAACCAACUCCCGAGUCUCUAGGACAUUCCUAAAAAAAUUUGAUUUUUUCCCAUAGGAAUGCAUGGGUUAGGGUUAUGGUUAGGGUUAGGGUUGGAGCUAGGGUUAGGGUUAGGGUUAGGGUUGGAGUUAGGGUUAGUGUUGGAGCUAGGGUUAGGGUUGGGCUUGGAGCUAGGAUUUUUCUGAGUGCACUGAACCAACUCCCGAGUCUCUAGGACAUUCCUAAAAAAAUUUGAUUUUUUCCCAUAGGAAUGCAUGGGUUAGGGUUAUGGUUAGGGUUAGGGUUGGAGCUAGGGUUAGGGUUAGGGUUAGGGUUGGAGUUAGGGUUAGUGUUGGAGCUAGGGUUAGGGUUGGGCUUGGAGCUAGGAUUUUUCUGAGUGCACUGAACCAACUCCCGAGUCUCUAGGACAUUCCUAAAAAAAUUUGAUUUUUUCCCAUAGGAAUGCAUGGGUUAGGGUUAUGGUUAGGGUUAGGGUUGGAGCUAGGGUUAGGGUUAGGGUUAGGGUUGGAGUUAGGGUUAGUGUUGGAGCUAGGGUUAGGGUUGGGCUUGGAGCUAGGAUUUUUCUGAGUGCACUGAACCAACUCCCGAGUCUCUAGGACGUUCCUAAAAAAAUUUGAUUUUUUCCCAUAGGAAUGCAUGGGUUAGGGUUAGGGUUAGGGUUGGAGCUAGGGUUAGGGUUAGGGUUAGGGUUGGAGUUAGGGUUAGUGUUGGAGCUUUGGUUAGGGUUGGGCUUGGAGCUAGGAUUUUUCUGAGUGCACUGAACCAACUCCCGAGUCUCUAGGACAUUCCUAAAAAAAUUUGAUUUUUUCCCAUAGGAAUGCAUGGGUUAGGGUUAUGGUUAGGGUUAGGGUUGGAGCUAGGGUUAGGGUUAGGGUUAGGGUUGGAGUUAGGGUUAGUGUUGGAGCUAGGGUUAGGGUUGGGCUUGGAGCUAGGAUUUUCUGAGUGCACUGAACCAACUCCCGAGUCUCUAGGACAUUCCUAAAAAAAUUUGAUUUUUUCCCAUAGGAAUGCAUGGGUUAGGGUUAUGGUUAGGGUUAGGGUUGGAGCUAGGGUUAGGGUUAGGGUUAGGGUUGGAGUUAGGGUUAGUGUUGGAGCUAGGGUUAGGGUUGGGCUUGGAGCUAGGAUUUUUCUGAGUGCACUGAACCAACUCCCGAGUCUCUAGGACAUUCCCUAAAAAAAAUUUGAUUUUUUCCCAUAGGAAUGCAUGGGUUAGGGUUAGGGUUAGGGUUGGAUUUAGGGUUAGGGUUAGGGUUAGGGUUGGAGUUAGGGUUAGUGUUGGAGCUAGGGUUAGGGUUGGGCUUGGAGCUAGGAUUUUUCUGAGUGCACUGAACCAACUCCCGAGUCUCUAGGACAUUCCUAAAAAAAUUUGAUUUUUUCCCAUAGGAAUGCAUGGGUUAGGGUUAGGGUUAGGGUUGGAGCUAGGGUUAGGGUUAGGGUUGGAGUUAGGGUUAGUGUUGGAGCUAGGGUUAGGGUUGGGCUUGGAGCUAGGAUUUUUCUGAGUGCACUGAACCAACUCCCGAGUCUCUAGGACGUUCCUAAAAAAAUUUGAUUUUUUCCCAUAGGAAUGCAUGGGUUGGGGUUAGGGUUAGGGUUGGAGCUAGGGUUAGGGUUGGGGUUAGGGUUGGAGUUAGGGUUAGUGUUGGAGCUAGGGUUAGGGUUGGGCUUGGAGCUAGGAUUUUUCUGAGUGCACUGAACCAACUCCCGAGUCUCUAGGACAUUCCUAAAAAAAUUUGAUUUUUUCCCAUAGGAAUGCAUGGGUUAGGGUUAUGGUUAGGGUUAGGGUUGGAGCUAGGGUUAGGGUUAGGGUUAGGGUUGGAGUUAGGGUUAGUGUUGGAGCUAGGGUUAGGGUUGGGCUUGGAGCUAGGAUUUUUCUGAGUGCACUGAACCAACUCCCGAGUCUCUAGGACAUUCCUAAAAAAAUUUGAUUUUUUCCCAUAGGAAUGCAUGGGUUAGGGUUAGGGUUAGGGUUGGAGCUAGGGUUAGGGUUAGGGUUAGGGUUGGAGUUAGGGUUAGUGUUGGAGCUAGGGUUAGGGUUGGGCUUGGAGCUAGGAUUUUUCUGAGUGCACUGAACCAACUCCCGAGUCUCUAGGACAUUCCUAAAAAAAUUUGAUUUUUUCCCAUAGGAAUGCAUGGGUUAGGGUUAGGGUUAGGGUUAGGGUUGGAGCUAGGGUUAGGGUUAGGGUUAGGGUUAGGGUUAGGGUUAGGGUUGGAGUUAGGGUUAGUGUUGGAGCUAGGGUUAGGGUUGGGCUUGGAGCUAGGAUUUUUCUGAGUGCACUGAACCAACUCCCGAGUCUCUAGGACGUUCCUAAAAAAUUUGAUUUUUUCCCAUAGGAAUGCAUGGGUUAGGGUUAGGGUUAGGGUUGGAGCUAGGGUUAGGGUUAGGGUUAGGGUUGGAGUUAGGGUUAGUGUUGGAGCUAGGGUUAGGGUUUGGCUUGGAGCUAGGAUUUUUCUGAGUGCACUGAACCAACUCCCGAGUCUCUAGGACAUUCCUAAAAAAAUUUGAGUUUUUCCCAUAGGAAUGCAUGGGUUAGGGUUAGGGUUAGGGUUGGAGCUAGGGUUAGGGUUAGGGUUAGGGUUGGAGUUAGGGUUAGUGUUGGAGCUAGGGUUAGGGUUGGGCUUGGAGCUAGGAUUUUUCUGAGUGCACUGAACCAACUCCCGAGUCUCUAGGACAUUCCUAAAAAAAUUUGAUUUUUUCCCAUAGGAAUGCAUGGGUUAGGGUUAUGGUUAGGGUUAGGGUUGGAGCUAGGGUUAGGGUUAGGGUUAGGGUUGGAGUUAGGGUUAGUGUUGGAGCUAGGGUUAGGGUUGGGCUUGGAGCUAGGAUUUUUCUGAGUGCACUGAACCAACUCCCGAGUCUCUAGGACAUUCCUAAAAAAAUUUGAUUUUUUCCCAUAGGAAUGCAUGGGUUAGGGUUAUGGUUAGGGUUAGGGUUGGAGCUAGGGUUAGGGUUAGGGUUAGGGUUGGAGUUAGGGUUAGUGUUGGAGCUAGGGUUAGGGUUGGGCUUGGAGCUAGGAUUUUUCUGAGUGCACUGAACCAACUCCCGAGUCUCUAGGAUGUUCCUAAAAAAAUUUGAUUUUUUCCCAUAGGAAUGCAUGGGUUAGGGUUAGGGUUAGGGUUGGAGCUAGGGUUAGGGUUAGGGUUAGGGUUGGGGUUAGUGUUAGUGAGAGCUAGGGUUAGGGUUGGGCUUGGAGCUAGGAUUUUUCUGAGUGCACUGAACCAACUCCCGAGUCUCUAGGACAUUCCUAAAAAAAUUUGAUUUUUUCCCAUAGGAAUGCAUGGGUUAGGGUUAGGGUUAGGGUUGGAGCUAGGGUUAGGGUUAGGGUUGGAGUUAGGGUUAGUGUUGGAGCUAGGGUUAGGGUUGGGCUUGGAGCUAGGAUUUUUCUGAGUGCACUGAACCAACUCCCGAGUCUCUAGGACAUUCCUAAAAAAAUUUGAUUUUUUCCCAUAGGAAUGCAUGGGUUAGGGUUAUGGUUAGGGUUAGGGUUGGAGCUAGGGUUAGGGUUAGGGUUAGGGUUGGAGUUAGGGUUAGUGUUGGAGCUAGGGUUAGGGUUGGGCUUGGAGCUAGGAUUUUUCUGAGUGCACUGAACCAACUCCCGAGUCUCUAGGACAUUCCUAAAAAAAUUUGAGUUUUUCCCAUAGGAAUGCAUGGGUUAGGUUAGGGUUAGGGUUGGAGCUAGGGUUAGGGUUAGGGUUAGGGUUGGAGUUAGGGUUAGUGUUGGAGCUAGGGUUAGGGUUGGGCUUGGAGCUAGGAUUUUUCUGAGUGCACUGAACCAACUCCCGAGUCUCUAGGACAUUCCUAAAAAAAAUUUGAUUUUUUCCCAUAGGAAUGCAUGGGUUAGGGUUAUGGUUAGGGUUAGGGUUGGAGCUAGGGUUAGGGUUAGGGUUAGGGUUGGAGUUAGGGUUAGUGUUGGAGCUAGGGUUAGGGUUGGGCUUGGAGCUAGGAUUUUUCUGAGUGCACUGAACCAACUCCCGAGUCUCUAGGACAUUCCUAAAAAAAUUUGAUUUUUUCCCAUAGGAAUGCAUGGGUUAGGGUUAGGGUUAGGGUUAGGGUUGGAGCUAGGGUUAGGGUUAGGGUUAGGGUUAGGGUUAGGGUUGGAGUUAGGGUUAGUGUUGGAGCUAGGGUUAGGGUUGGGCUUGGAGCUAGGAUUUUUCUGAGUGCACUGAACCAACUCCCGAGUCUCUAGGACAUUCCUAAAAAAAUUUGAUUUUUUCCCAUAGGAAUGCAUGGGUUAGGGUUAUGGUUAGGGUUAGGGUUGGAGCUAGGGUUAGGGUUAGGGUUAGGGUUGGAGUUAGGGUUAGUGUUGGAGCUAGGGUUAGGGUUGGGCUUGGAGCUAGGAUUUUUCUGAGUGCACUGAACCAACUCCCGAGUCUCUAGGAUGUUCCUAAAAAAAUUUGAUUUUUUCCCAUAGGAAUGCAUGGGUUAGGGUUAGGGUUAGGGUUGGAGCUAGGGUUAGGGUUAGGGUUAGGGUUGGAGUUAGGGUUAGUGUUGGAGCUAGGGUUAGGGUUGGGCUUGGAGCUAGGAUUUUUCUGAGUGCACUGAACCAACUCCCGAGUCUCUAGGACAUUCCUAAAAAAAUUUGAUUUUUUCCCAUAGGAAUGCAUGGGUUAGGGUUAUGGUUAGGGUUAGGGUUGGAGCUAGGGUUAGGGUUAGGGUUAGGGUUGGAGUUAGGGUUAGUGUUGGAGCUAGGGUUAGGGUUGGGCUUGGAGCUAGGAUUUUUCUGAGUGCACUGAACCAACUCCCGAGUCUCUAGGACAUUCCUAAAAAAAUUUGAUUUUUUUCCCAUAGGAAUGCAUGGGUUAGGGUUAUGGUUAGGGUUAGGGUUGGAGCUAGGGUUAGGGUUAGGGUUAGGGUUGGAGUUAGGGUUAGUGUUGGAGCUAGGGUUAGGGUUGGGCUUGGAGCUAGGAUUUUUCUGAGUGCACUGAACCAACUCCCGAGUCUCUAGGACAUUCCUAAAAAAAUUUGAUUUUUUCCCAUAGGAAUGCAUGGGUUAGGGUUAUGGUUAGGGUUAGGGUUGGAGCUAGGGUUAGGGUUAGGGUUAGGGUUGGAGUUAGGGUUAGUGUUGGAGCUAGGGUUAGGGUUGGGCUUGGAGCUAGGAUUUUUUGAGUGCAAUGAACCAACUCCCGAGUCUCUAGGACGUUCCUAAAAAAAUUUGAUUUUUUCCCAUAGGAAUGCAUGGGUUAGGGUUAUGGUUAGGGUUAGGGUUGGAGCUAGGGUUAGGGUUAGGGUUAGGGUUGGAGUUAGGGUUAGUGUUGGAGCUAGGGUUAGGGUUGGGCUUGGAGCUAGGAUUUUUCUGAGUGCACUGAACCAACUCCCGAGUCUCUAGGACGUUCCUAAAAAAAUUUGAUUUUUUCCCAUAGGAAUGCAUGGGUUGGGUUAGGGUUAGGGUUAGGGUUGGAGCUAGGGUUAGGGUUAGGGUUAGGGUUGGAGUUAGGGUUAGUGUUGGAGCUAGGGUUAGGGUUGGGCUUGGAGCUAGGAUUUUUCUGAGUGCACUGAACCAACUCCCGAGUCUCUAGGACAUUCCUAAAAAAAUUUGAUUUUUUCCCAUAGGAAUGCAUGGGUUAGGGUUAGGGUUAGGGUUGGAGCUAGGGUUAGGGUUAGGGUUAGGGUUGGAGUUAGGGUUAGUGUUGGAGCUAGGGUUAGGGUUGGGCUUGGAGCUAGGAUUUUUCUGAGUGCAAUGAACCAACUCCCGAGUCUCUAGGACGUUCCUAAAAAAAUUUGAUUUUUUCCCAUAGGAAUGCAUGGGUUAUGGUUAGGGUUAGGGUUGGAGCUAGGGUUAGGGUUAGGUUUAGGGUUGGAGUUAGGGUUAGUGUUGGAGCUAGGGUUAGGGUUGGGCUUGGAGCUAGGAUUUUUCUGAGUGCACUGAACCAACUCCCGAGUCUCUAGGACAUUCCUAAAAAAAUUUGAUUUUUUCCCAUAGGAAUGCAUGGGUUAGGCUUAUGGUUAGGGUUAGGGUUGGAGCUAGGGUUAGGGUUAGGGUUAGGGUUGGAGUUAGGGUUAGUGUUGGAGCUAGGGUUAGGGUUGGGCUUGGAGCUAGGAUUUUUCUGAGUGCAACUGAACCAACUCCCGAGUCUCUUGGACGUUCCUAAAAAAAUUUGAUUUUUUCCCAUAGGAAUGCAUGGGUUAGGGUUAGGGUUAGGGUUGGAGCUAGGGUUAGGGUUAGGGUUAGGGUUGGAGUUAGGGUUAGUGUUGGAGCUAGGGUUAGGGUUGGGCUUGGAGCUAGGAUUUUUCUGAGUGCACUGAACCAACUCCCGAGUCUCUAGGACGUUCCUAAAAAAAUUUGAUUUUUUCCCAUAGGAAUGCAUGGGUUAGGGUUAUGGUUAGGGUUAGGGUUGGAGCUAGGGUUAGGGUUAGGGUUAGGGUUGGAGUUAGGGUUAGUGUUGGAGCUAGGGUUAGGGUUGGGCUUGGAGCUAGGAUUUUUCUGAGUGCAAUGAACCAACUCCCGAGUCUCUUGGACGUUCCUAAAAAAAUUUGAUUUUUUCCCAUAGGAAUGCAUGGGUUAGGGUUAGGGUUAGGGUUGGAGCUAGGGUUAGGGUUAGGGUUAGGGUUGGAGUUAGGGUUAGUGUUGGAGCUAGGGUUAGGGUUGGGCUUGGAGCUAGGAUUUUUCUGAGUGCAAUGAACCAACUCCCGAGUCUCUAGGACGUUCCUAAAAAAAUUUGAUUUUUUCCCAUAGGAAUGCAUGGGUUAGGGUUAGGGUUAGGGUUGGAGCUAGGGUUAGGGUUAGGUUUAGGGUUGGAGUUAGGGUUAGUGUUGGAGCUAGGGUUAGGGUUGGGCUUGGAGCUAGGAUUUUUCUGAGUGCACUGAACCAACUCCCGAGUCUCUAGGACAUUCCUAAAAAAAUUUGAUUUUUUCCCAUAGGAAUGCAUGGUUUAGGGUUAUGGUUAGGGUUAGGGUUGGAGCUAGGGUUAGGGUUAGGGUUAGGGUUGGAGUUAGGGUUAGUGUUGGAGCUAGGGUUAGGGUUGCGCUUGGAGCUAGGACUUUUCUGAGUGCAAUGAACCAACUCCCGAGUCUCUAGGAUGUUCCCUUAAAAAAAAUUGAUUUUUUCCCAUAGGAAUGCAUGGGUUAGGGUUAGGGUUAGGGUUGGAGCUAGGGUUAGGGUUAGGGUUAGGGUUGGAGUUAGGGUUCGUGUUGGAGCUAGGGUUAGGGUUGGGCUUGGAGCUAGGAUUUUUCUGAGUGCACUGAACCAACUCCCGAGUCUCUAGGACAUUCCUAAAAAAAUUUGAUUUUUUCCCAUAGGAAUGCAUGGGUUAGGGUUAUGGUUAGGGUUAGGGUUGGAGCUAGGGUUAGGGUUAGGGUUAGGGUUGGAGUUAGGGUUAGUGUUGGAGCUAGGGUUAGGGUUGGGCUUGGAGCUAGGACUUUUCUGAGUGCAAUGAACCAACUCCCGAGUCUCUAGGACGUUCCUAAAAAAAAUUGAUUUUUUCCCAUAGGAAUGCAUGGGUUAGGGUUAGGGUUAGGGUUGGAGCUAGGGUUAGGGUUAGGGUUAGGGUUGGAGUUAGGGUUAGUGUUGGAGCUAGGGUUAGGGUUGGGCUUGGAGCUAGGAUUUUUCUGAGUGCACUGAACCAACUCCCGAGUCUCUAGGACGUUCCUAAAAAAAUUUGAUUUUUUCCCAUAGGAAUGCAUGGGUUAGGGUUAGGGUUAGGGUUGGAGCUAGGGUUAGGGUUAGGGUUAGGGUUAGGGUUGGAGUUAGGGUUAGUGUUGGAGCUAGGGUUAGGGUUGGGCUUGGAGCUAGGAUUUUUCUGAGUGCACUGAACCAACUCCCGAGUCUCUAGGAUAUUCCUAAAAAAAUUUGAUUUUUUCCCAUAGGAAUGCAUGGGUUAGGGUUAGGGUUAGGGUUGGAGCUAGGGUUAGGGUUAGGGUUAGGGUUGGAGUUAGGGUUAGUGUUGGAGCUAUGGUUAGGGUUGGGCUUGGAGCUAGGAUUUUUCUGAGUGCACUGAACCAACUCCCGAGUCUCUAGGACAUUCCUAAAAAAUUUUGAUUUUUUCCCAUAGGAAUGCAUGGGUUAGGGUUAUGGUUAGGGUUAGGGUUGGAGCUAGGGUUAGGGUUAGGGUUAGGGUUGGAGUUAGGGUUAGUGUUGGAGCUAGGGUUAGGGUUGGGCUUGGAGCUAGGAUUUUUCUGAGUGCACUGAACCAACUCCCGAGUCUCUAGGACAUUCCUAAAAAAAUUUGAUUUUUUUCCCAUAGGAAUGCAUGGGUUAGGGUUAGGGUUAGGGUUGGAGCUAGGGUUAGGGUUAGGGUUAGGGUUGGAGUUAGGGUUAGUGUUGGAGCUAGGGUUAGGGUUGGGCUUGGAGCUAGGAUUUUUCUGAGUGCACUGAACCAACUCCCGAGUCUCUAGGACAUUCCUAAAAAAAUUUGAUUUUUUCCCAUAGGAAUGCAUGGGUUAGGGUUAGGGUUAGGGUUGGAGCUAGGGUUAGGGUUAGGGUUAGGGUUAGGGUUGGAGUUAGGGUUAGUGUUGGAGCUAGGGUUAGGGUUGGGCUUGGAGCUAGGAUUUUUCUGAGUGCACUGAACCAACUCCCGAGUCUCUAGGACAUUCCUAAAAAAAUUUGAUUUUUUCCCAUAGGAAUGCAUGGGUUAGGGUUAUGGUUAGGGUUAGGGUUGGAGCUAGGGUUAGGGUUAGGGUUAGGGUUGGAGUUAGGGUUAGUGUUGGAGCUAGGGUUAGGGUUGGGCUUGGAGCUAGGAUUUUUCUGAGUGCAAUGAACCAACUCCCGAGUCUCUAGGACGUUCCUAAAAAAAUUUGAUUUUUUCCCAUAGGAAUGCAUGGGUUAGGGUUAGGGUUAGGGUUGGAGCUAGGGUUAGGGUUAGGGUUAGGGUUGGAGUUAGGGUUAGUGUUGGAGCUAGGGUUAGGGUUGGGCUUGGAGCUAGGAUUUUUCUGAGUGCACUGAACCAACUCCCGAGUCUCUAGGACAUUCCUAAAAAAAAUUGAUUUUUUCCCAUAGGAAUGCAUGGGUUAGGGUUAUGGUUAGGGUUAGGGUUGGAGCUAGGGUUAGGGUUAGGGUUAGGGUUGGAGUUAGGGUUAGUGUUGGAGCUAGGGUUAGGGUUGGGCUUGGAGCUAGGACUUUUCUGAGUGCAAUGAACCAACUCCCGAGUCUCUAGGACGUUCCCUAAAAAAAUUUGAUUUUUUCCCAUAGGAAUGCAUGGGUUAGGGUUAGGGUUAGGGUUGGAGCUAGGGUUAGGGUUAGGGUUAGGGUUGGAGUUAGGGUUAGUGUUGGAGCUAGGGUUAGGGUUGGGCUUGGAGCUAGGAUUUUUCUGAGUGCACUGAACCAACUCCCGAGUCUCUAGGACAUUCCUAAAAAAAUUUGAUUUUUUCCCAUAGGAAUGCAUGGGUUAGGGUUAUGGUUAGGGUUAGGGUUGGAGCUAGGGUUAGGGUUAGGGUUAGGGUUGGAGUUAGGGUUAGUGUUGGAGCUAGGGUUAGGGUUGGGCUUGGAGCUAGGAUUUUUCUGAGUGCAUGAACCAACUCCCGAGUCUCUAGGACGUUCCUAAAAAAAUUUGAUUUUUUCCCAUAGGAAUGCAUGGGUUAGGGUUAUGGUUAGGGUUGGAGCUAGGGUUAGGGUUAGGGUUAGGGUUGGAGUUAGGGUUAGUGUUGGAGCUAGGGUUAGGGUUGGGCUUGGAGCUAGGAUUUUUCUGAGUGCACUGAACCAACUCCCGAGUCUCUAGGACAUUCCUAAAAAAAUUUGAUUUUUUCCCAUAGGAAUGCAUGGGUUAGGGUUAGGGUUAGGGUUGGAGCUAGGGUUAGGGUUAGGGUUAGGGUUGGAGUUAGGGUUAGUGUUGGAGCUAGGGUUAGGGUUGGGCUUGGAGCUAGGAUUUUUCUGAGUGCAAUGAACCAACUCCCGAGUCUCUAGGACGUUCCUAAAAAAAUUUGAUUUUUUCCCAUAGGAAUGCAUGGGUUAGGGUUAGGGUUAGGGUUGGAGCUAGGGUUAGGGUUAGGGUUAGGGUUGGAGUUAGGGUUAGUGUUGGAGCUAGGGUUAGGGUUGGGCUUGGAGCUAGGAUUUUUCUGAGUGCACUGAACCAACUCCCGAGUCUCUAGGACAUUCCUAAAAAAAUUUGAUUUUUUCCCAUAGGAAUGCAUGGGUUAGGGUUAUGGUUAGGGUUAGGGUUGGAGCUAGGGUUAGGGUUAGGGUUAGGGUUGGAGUUAGGGUUAGUGUUGGAGCUAGGGUUAGGGUUGGGCUUGGAGCUAGGACUUUUCUGAGUGCAAUGAACCAACUCCCGAGUCUCUAGGACGUUCCCUAAAAAAAUUUGAUUUUUUCCCAUAGGAAUGCAUGGGUUAGGGUUAGGGUUAGGGUUGGAGCUAGGGUUAGGGUUAGGGUUAGGGUUGGAGUUAGGGUUAGUGUUGGAGCUAGGGUUAGGGUUGGGCUUGGAGCUAGGAUUUUUCUGAGUGCACUGAACCAACUCCCGAGUCUCUAGGACAUUCCUAAAAAAAUUUGAUUUUUUCCCAUAGGAAUGCAUGGGUUAGGGUUAGGGUUAGGGUUGGAGCUAGGGUUAGGGUUAGGGUUAGGGUUGGAGUUAGGGUUAGUGUUGGAGCUAGGGUUAGGGUUGGGCUUGGAGCUAGGAUUUUUCUGAGUCCAGUGAACCAACUCCCGAGUCUCUAGGACAUUCCUAAAAAAAUUUGAUUUUUUCCCAUAGGAAUGCAUGGGUUAGGGUUAGGGUUAGGGUUGGAGCUAGGGUUAGGGUUAGGGUUAGGGUUGGAGUUAGGGUUAGUGUUGGAGCUAGGGUUAGGGUUGGGCUUGGAGCUAGGAUUUUUCUGAGUGCACUGAACCAACUCCCGAGUCUCUAGGACAUUCCUAAAAAAAUUUGAUUUUUUCCCAUAGGAAUGCAUGGUUUAGGGUUAUGGUUAGGGUUAGGGUUGGAGCUAGGGUUAGGGUUAGGGUUAGGGUUGGAGUUAGGGUUAGUGUUGGAGCUAGGGUUAGGGUUGGGCUUGGAGCUAGGACUUUUCUGAGUGCAAUGAACCAACUCCCGAGUCUCUAGGACGUUCCAAAAAAAAAUUUGAUUUUUUCCCAUAGGAAUGCAUGGGUUAGGGUUAGGGUUAGGGUUGGAGCUAGGGUUAGGGUUAGGGUUAGGGUUGGAGUUAGGGUUAGUGUUGGAGCUAGGGUUAGGGUUGGGCUUGGAGCUAGGAUUUUUCUGAGUGCACUGAACCAACUCCCGAGUCUCUAGGACGUUCCUAAAAAAAUUUGAUUUUUUCCCAUAGGAAUGCAUGGGUUAGGGUUAGGGUUAGGGUUGGAGCUAGGGUUAGGGUUAGGGUUAGGGUUGGAGUUAGGGUUAGUGUUGGAGCUAGGGUUAGGGUUGGGCUUGGAGCUAGGAUUUUUCUGAGUGCACUGAACCAACUCCCGAGUCUCUAGGACAUUCCUAAAAAAAUUUGAGUUUUUCCCAUAGGAAUGCAUGGGUUAGGGUUAGGGUUAGGGUUGGAGCUAGGGUUAGGGUUAGGGUUAGGGUUGGAGUUAGGGUUAGUGUUGGAGCUAGGGUUAGGGUUGGGCUUGGAGCUAGGAUUUUUCUGAGUGCACUGAACCAACUCCCGAGUCUCUAGGACAUUCCUAAAAAAAUUUGAUUUUUUCCCAUAGGAAUGCAUGGGUUAGGGUUAGGGUUAGGGUUGGAGCUAGGGUUAGGGUUAGGGUUAGGGUUGGAGUUAGGGUUAGUGUUGGAGCUAGGGUUAGGGUUGGGCUUGGAGCUAGGAUUUUUCUGAGUGCAAUGAACCAACUCCCGAGUCUCUUGGACGUUCCUAAAAAAAUUUGAUUUUUUCCCAUAGGAAUGCAUGGGUUAGGGUUAGGGUUAGGGUUGGAGCUAGGGUUAGGGUUAGGGUUAGGGUUGGAGUUAGGGUUAGUGUUGGAGCUAGGGUUAGGGUUGGGCUUGGAGCUAGGAUUUUUCUGAGUGCACUGAACCAACUCCCGAGUCUCUAGGACGUUCCUAAAAAAAUUUGAUUUUUUCCCAUAGGAAUGCAUGGGUUAGGGUUAGGGUUAGGGUUGGAGCUAGGGUUAGGGUUAGGGUUAGGGUUGGAGUUAGGGUUAGUGUUGGAGCUAGGGUUAGGGUUGGGCUUGGAGCUAGGAUUUUUCUGAGUGCACUGAACCAACUCCCGAGUCUCUAGGACGUUCCUAAAAAAAUUUGAUUUUUUCCCAUAGGAAUGCAUGGGUUAGGGUUAGGGUUAGGGUUGGAGCUAGGGUUAGGGUUAGGGUUAGGGUUGGAGUUAGGGUUAGUGUUGGAGCUAGGGUUAGGGUUGGGCUUGGAGCUAGGAUUUUUCUGAGUGCACUGAACCAACUCCCGAGUCUCUAGGACAUUCCUAAAAAAAUUUGAUUUUUCCCAUAGGAAUGCAUGGGUUAGGGUUAGGGUUAGGGUUGGAGCUAGGGUUAGGGUUAGGGUUAGGGUUGGAGUUAGGGUUAGUGUUGGAGCUAGGGUUAGGGUUGGGCUUGGAGCUAGGAUUUUUCUGAGUGCACUGAACCAACUCCCGAGUCUCUAGGACAUUCCUAAAAAAAUUUGAUUUUUUUCCCAUAGGAAUGCAUGGGUUAGGGUUAGGGUUAGGGUUAGGGUUGGAGCUAGGGUUAGGGUUAGGGUUAGGGUUGGAGUUAGGGUUAGUGUUGGAGCUAGGGUUAGGGUUGGGCUUGGAGCUAGGAUUUUUCUGAGUGCACUGAACCAACUCCCGAGUCUCUAGGACGUUCCUAAAAAAAUUUGAUUUUUUCCCAUAGGAAUGCAUGGGUUAGGGUUAGGGUUAGGGUUGGAGCUAGGGUUAGGGUUAGGGUUAGGGUUGGAGUUAGGGUUAGUGUUGGAGCUAGGGUUAGGGUUGGGCUUGGAGCUAGGAUUUUUCUGAGUGCACUGAACCAACUCCCGAGUCUCUAGGACGUUCCUAAAAAAAUUUGAUUUUUUCCCAUAGGAAUGCAUGGGUUAGGGUUAGGGUUAGGGUUGGAGCUAGGGUUAGGGUUAGGGUUAGGGUUGGAGUUAGGGUUAGUGUUGGAGCUAGGGUUAGGGUUGGGCUUGGAGCUAGGAUUUUUCUGAGUGCACUGAACCAACUCCCGAGUCUCUAGGACAUUCCUAAAAAAAUUUGAUUUUUUCCCAUAGGAAUGCAUGGGUUAGGGUUAGGGUUAGGGUUGGAGCUAGGGUUAGGGUUAGGGUUAGGGUUGGAGUUAGGGUUAGUGUUGGAGCUAGGGUUAGGGUUGGGCUUGGAGCUAGGAUUUUUCUGAGUGCACUGAACCAACUCCCGAGUCUCUAGGACAUUCCUAAAAAAAUUUGAUUUUUUCCCAUAGGAAUGCAUGGGUUAGGGUUAUGGUUAGGGUUAGGGUUGGAGCUAGGGUUAGGGUUAGGGUUAGGGUUGGAGUUAGGGUUAGUGUUGGAGCUAGGGUUAGGGUUGGGCUUGGAGCUAGGAUUUUUCUGAGUGCACUGAACCAACUCCCGAGUCUCUAGGACAUUCCUAAAAAAAUUUGAUUUUUUCCCAUAGGAAUGCAUGGGUUAGGGUUAGGGUUAGGGUUGGAGCUAGGGUUAGGGUUAGGGUUAGGGUUGGAGUUAGGGUUAGUGUUGGAGCUAGGGUUAGGGUUGGGCUUGGAGCUAGGAUUUUUCUGAGUGCACUGAACCAACUCCCGAGUCUCUAGGACAUUCCUAAAAAAAUUUGAUUUUUUCCCAUAGGAAUGCAUGGGUUAGGGUUAUGGUUAGGGUUGGAGCUAGGGUUAGGGUUAGGGUUAGGGUUGGAGUUAGGGUUAGUGUUGGAGCUAGGGUUAGGGUUGGGCUUGGAGCUAGGAUUUUUCUGAGUGCACUGAACCAACUCCCGAGUCUCUAGGACAUUCCUAAAAAAAUUUGAUUUUUUCCCAUAGGAAUGCAUGGGUUAGGGUUAGGGUUAGGGUUGGAGCUAGGGUUAGGGUUAGGGUUAGGGUUGGAGUUAGGGUUAGUGUUGGAGCUAGGGUUAGGGUUGGGCUUGGAGCUAGGAUUUUUCUGAGUGCACUGAACCAACUCCCGAGUCUCUAGGACAUUCCUAAAAAAAUUUGAUUUUUUCCCAUAGGAAUGCAUGGGUUAGGGUUAUGGUUAGGGUUAGGGUUGGAGCUAGGGUUAGGGUUAGGGUUAGGGUUGGAGUUAGGGUUAGUGUUGGAGCUAGGGUUAGGGUUGGGCUUGGAGCUAGGACUUUUCUGAGUGCAAUGAACCAACUCCCGAGUCUCUAGGACAUUCCUAAAAAAAUUGAUUUUUUCCCAUAGGAAUGCAUGGGUUAGGGUUAUGGUUAGGGUUAGGGUUGGAGCUAGUGUUAGGGUUAGGGUUAGGGUUAGGGUUAGGGUUGGAGUUAGGGUUAGUGUUGGAGCUAGGGUUAGGGUUGGGCUUGGAGCUAGGAUUUUUCUGAGUGCACUGAACCAACUCCCGAGUCUCUAGGACAUUCCUAAAAAAAUUUGAUUUUUUCCCAUAGGAAUGCAUGGGUUAGGGUUAUGGUUAGGGUUAGGGUUGGAGCUAGGGUUAGGGUUAGGGUUAGGGUUGGAGUUAGGGUUAGUGUUGGAGCUAGGGUUAGGGUUGGGCUUGGAGCUAGGAUUUUUCUGAGUGCACUGAACCAACUCCCGAGUCUCUAGGACAUUCCUAAAAAAAUUUGAUUUUUUCCCAUAGGAAUGCAUGGGUUAGGGUUAGGGUUAGGGUUGGAGCUAGGGUUAGGGUUAGGGUUAGGGUUGGAGUUAGGGUUAGUGUUGGAGCUAGGGUUAGGGUUGGGCUUGGAGCUAGGAUUUUUCUGAGUGCACUGAACCAACUCCCGAGUCUCUAGGACAUUCCUAAAAAAAUUUGAUUUUUUCCCAUAGGAAUGCAUGGGUUAGGGUUAGGGUUAGGGUUGGAGCUAGGGUUAGGGUUAGGGUUAGGGUUGGAGUUAGGGUUAGUGUUGGAGCUAGGGUUAGGGUUGGGCUUGGAGCUAGGAUUUUUCUGAGUGCACUGAACCAACUCCCGAGUCUCUAGGACAUUCCUAAAAAAAUUUGAUUUUUUUCCCAUAGGAAUGCAUGGGUUAGGGUUAUGGUUAGGGUUAGGGUUGGAGCUAGGGUUAGGGUUAGGGUUAGGGUUGGAGUUAGGGUUAGUGUUGGAGCUAGGGUUAGGGUUGGGCUUGGAGCUAGGAUUUUUCUGAGUGCAAUGAACCAACUCCCGAGUCUCUAGGACGUUCCUAAAAAAAUUUGAUUUUUUCCCAUAGGAAUGCAUGGGUUAGGGUUAGGGUUAGGGUUGGAGCUAGGGUUAGGGUUAGGGUUAGGGUUGGAGUUAGGGUUAGUGUUGGAGCUAGGGUUAGGGUUGGGCUUGGAGCUAGGAUUUUUCUGAGUGCACUGAACCAACUCCCGAGUCUCUAGGACGUUCCUAAAAAAAUUUGAUUUUUUCCCAUAGGAAUGCAUGGGUUAGGGUUAGGGUUAGGGUUGGAGCUAGGGUUAGGGUUAGGGUUAGGGUUGGAGUUAGGGUUAGUGUUGGAGCUAGGGUUAGGGUUGGGCUUGGAGCUAGGAUUUUUCUGAGUGCACUGAACCAACUCCCGAGUCUCUAGGACAUUCCUAAAAAAAUUUGAUUUUUUCCCAUAGGAAUGCAUGGGUUAGGGUUAGGGUUAGGGUUGGAGCUAGGGUUAGGGUUAGGGUUAGGGUUGGAGUUAGGGUUAGUGUUGGAGCUAGGGUUAGGGUUGGGCUUGGAGCUAGGAUUUUUCUGAGUGCACUGAACCAACUCCCGAGUCUCUAGGACAUUCCUAAAAAAAUUUGAUUUUUUCCCAUAGGAAUGCAUGGGUUAGGGUUAUGGUUAGGGUUAGGGUUGGAGCUAGGGUUAGGGUUAGGGUUAGGGUUGGAGUUAGGGUUAGUGUUGGAGCUAGGGUUAGGGUUGGGCUUGGAGCUAGGAUUUUUCUGAGUGCACUGAACCAACUCCCGAGUCUCUAGGACAUUCCUAAAAAAAAUUUGAUUUUUUCCCAUAGGAAUGCAUGGGUUAGGGUUAUGGUUAGGGUUAGGGUUGGAGCUAGGGUUAGGGUUAGGGUUAGGGUUGGAGUUAGGGUUAGUGUUGGAGCUAGGGUUAGGGUUGGGCUUGGAGCUAGGAUUUUUCUGAGUGCAAUGAACCAACUCCCGAGUCUCUUGGACGUUCCUAAAAAAAUUUGAUUUUUUCCCAUAGGAAUGCAUGGGUUAGGGUUAGGGUUAGGGUUGGAGCUAGGGUUAGGGUUAGGGUUAGGGUUGGAGUUAGGGUUAGUGUUGGAGCUAGGGUUAGGGUUGGGCUUGGAGCUAGGAUUUUUCUGAGUGCAAUGAACCAACUCCCGAGUCUCUAGGACGUUCCUAAAAAAAUUUGAUUUUUUUCCCAUAGGAAUGCAUGGGUUAGGGUUAUGGUUAGGGUUGGAGCUAGGGUUAGGGUUAGGGUUAGGGUUGGAGUUAGGGUUAGUGUUGGAGCUAGGGUUAGGGUUGGGCUUGGAGCUAGGAUUUUUCUGAGUGCACUGAACCAACUCCCGAGUCUCUAGGACGUUCCUAAAAAAAUUUGAUUUUUUCCCAUAGGAAUGCAUGGGUUAGGGUUAGGGUUAGGGUUGGAGCUAGGGUUAGGGUUAGGGUUAGGGUUGGAGUUAGGGUUAGUGUUGGAGCUAGGGUUAGGGUUGGGCUUGGAGCUAGGAUUUUUCUGAGUGCACUGAACCAACUCCCGAGUCUCUAGGACAUUCCUAAAAAAUUUGAUUUUUUUCCCAUAGGAAUGCAUGGGUUAGGGUUAUGGUUAGGGUUAGGGUUGGAGCUAGGGUUAGGGUUAGGGUUAGGGUUGGAGUUAGGGUUAGUGUUGGAGCUAGGGUUAGGGUUGGGCUUGGAGCUAGGACUUUUCUGAGUGCAAUGAACCAACUCCCGAGUCUCUAGGACAUUCCUAAAAAAAUUUGAUUUUUUCCCAUAGGAAUGCAUGGGUUAGGGUUAUGGUUAGGGUUAGGGUUGGAGCUAGGGUUAGGGUUAGGGUUAGGGUUAGGGUUGGAGUUAGGGUUAGUGUUGGAGCUAGGGUUAGGGUUGGGCUUGGAGCUAGGAUUUUUCUGAGUGCACUGAACCAACUCCCGAGUCUCUAGGACAUUCCUAAAAAAAUUUGAUUUUUUCCCAUAGGAAUGCAUGGGUUAGGGUUAGGGUUAGGGUUAGGGUUGGAGCUAGGGUUAGGGUUAGGGUUGGAGUUAGGGUUAGUGUUGGAGCUAGGGUUAGGGUUGGGCUUGGAGCUAGGAUUUUUCUGAGUGCAAUGAACCAACUCCCGAGUCUCUAGGACGUUCCUAAAAAAAUUUGAUUUUUUCCCAUAGGAAUGCAUGGGUUAGGGUUAGGGUUAGGGUUGGAGCUAGGGUUAGGGUUAGGGUUAGGGUUGGAGUUAGGGUUAGUGUUGGAGCUAGGGUUAGGGUUGGGCUUGGAGCUAGGAUUUUUCUGAGUGCACUGAACCAACUCCCGAGUCUCUAGGACAUUCCUAAAAAAAUUUGAUUUUUUCCCAUAGGAAUGCAUGGGUUAGGGUUAGGGUUAGGGUUGGAGCUAGGGUUAGGGUUAGGGUUAGGGUUGGAGUUAGGGUUAGUGUUGGAGCUAGGGUUAGGGUUGGGCUUGGAGCUAGGAUUUUUCUGAGUGCACUGAACCAACUCCCGAGUCUCUAGGACAUUCCUAAAAAAAUUUGAUUUUUUCCCAUAGGAAUGCAUGGGUUAGGGUUAGGGUUAGGGUUGGAGCUAGGGUUAGGGUUAGGGUUAGGGUUGGAGUUAGGGUUAGUGUUGGAGCUAGGGUUAGGGUUGGGCUUGGAGCUAGGAUUUUUCUGAGUGCACUGAACCAACUCCCGAGUCUCUAGGACAUUCCUAAAAAAAUUUGAUUUUUUCCCAUAGGAAUGCAUGGGUUAGGGUUAUGGUUAGGGUUAGGGUUGGAGCUAGGGUUAGGGUUAGGGUUAGGGUUGGAGUUAGGGUUAGUGUUGGAGCUAGGGUUAGGGUUGGGCUUGGAGCUAGGAUUUUUCUGAGUGCACUGAACCAACUCCCGAGUCUCUAGGACAUUCCUAAAAAAAUUUGAUUUUUUCCCAUAGGAAUGCAUGGGUUAGGGUUAUGGUUAGGGUUAGGGUUGGAGCUAGGGUUAGGGUUAGGGUUAGGGUUGGAGUUAGGGUUAGUGUUGGAGCUAGGGUUAGGGUUGGGCUUGGAGCUAGGACUUUUCUGAGUGCAAUGAACCAACUCCCGAGUCUCUAGGACGUUCCUAAAAAAAUUUGAUUUUUUCCCAUAGGAAUGCAUGGGUUAGGGUUAGGGUUAGGGUUGGAGCUAGGGUUAGGGUUAGGGUUAGGGUUGGAGUUAGGGUUAGUGUUGGAGCUAGGGUUAGGGUUGGGCUUGGAGCUAGGAUUUUUCUGAGUGCACUGAACCAACUCCCGAGUCUCUAGGACAUUCCUAAAAAAAUUUGAUUUUUUCCCAUAGGAAUGCAUGGGUUAGGGUUAGGGUUAGGGUUGGAGCUAGGGUUAGGGUUAGGGUUAGGGUUGGAGUUAGGGUUAGUGUUGGAGCUAGGGUUAGGGUUGGGCUUGGAGCUAGGAUUUUUCUGAGUGCACUGAACCAACUCCCGAGUCUCUAGGACAUUCCUAAAAAAAUUUGAUUUUUUCCCAUAGGAAUGCAUGGGUUAGGGUUAUGGUUAGGGUUAGGGUUGGAGCUAGGGUUAGGGUUAGGGUUAGGGUUGGAGUUAGGGUUAGUGUUGGAGCUAGGGUUAGGGUUGGGCUUGGAGCUAGGACUUUUCUGAGUGCAAUGAACCAACUCCCGAGUCUCUUGGACGUUCCCUAAAAAAUUUGAUUUUUUCCCAUAGGAAUGCAUGGGUUAGGGUUAGGGUUAGGGUUGGAGCUAGGGUUAGGGUUAGGGUUAGGGUUGGAGUUAGGGUUAGUGUUGGAGCUAGGGUUAGGGUUGGGCUUGGAGCUAGGAUUUUUCUGAGUGCACUGAACCAACUCCCGAGUCUCUAGGACAUUCCUAAAAAAAUUUGAUUUUUUCCCAUAGGAAUGCAUGGGUUAGGGUUAUGGUUAGGGUUGGAGCUAGGGUUAGGGUUAGGGUUAGGGUUGGAGUUAGGGUUAGUGUUGGAGCUAGGGUUAGGGUUGGGCUUGGAGCUAGGAUUUUUCUGAGUGCAAUGAACCAACUCCCGAGUCUCUAGGACAUUCCUAAAAAAAUUUGAUUUUUUCCCAUAGGAAUGCAUGGGUUAGGGUUAGGGUUAGGGUUGGAGCUAGGGUUAGGGUUAGGGUUAGGGUUGGAGUUAGGGUUAGUGUUGGAGCUAGGGUUAGGGUUGGGCUUGGAGCUAGGAUUUUUCUGAGUGCACUGAACCAACUCCCGAGUCUCUAGGACAUUCCUAAAAAAAUUUGAUUUUUUCCCAUAGGAAUGCAUGGGUUAGGGUUAUGGUUAGGGUUAGGGUUGGAGCUAGGGUUAGGGUUAGGGUUAGGGUUGGAGUUAGGGUUAGUGUUGGAGCUAGGGUUAGGGUUGGGCUUGGAGCUAGGACUUUUCUGAGUGCAAUGAACCAACUCCCGAGUCUCUUGGACGUUCCCUAAAAAAAUUUGAUUUUUUUCCCAUAGGAAUGCAUGGGUUAGGGUUAGGGUUAGGGUUGGAGCUAGGGUUAGGGUUAGGGUUAGGGUUGGAGUUAGGGUUAGUGUUGGAGCUAGGGUUAGGGUUGGGCUUGGAGCUAGGAUUUUUCUGAGUGCACUGAACCAACUCCCGAGUCUCUAGGACAUUCCUAAAAAAAUUUGAUUUUUUCCCAUAGGAAUGCAUGGGUUAGGGUUAGGGUUAGGGUUGGAGCUAGGGUUAGGGUUAGGGUUAGGGUUGGAGUUAGGGUUAGUGUUGGAGCUAGGGUUAGGGUUGGGCUUGGAGCUAGGAUUUUUCUGAGUGCACUGAACCAACUCCCGAGUCUCUAGGACAUUCCUAAAAAAAUUUGAUUUUUUUCCCAUAGGAAUGCAUGGGUUAGGGUUAGGGUUAGGGUUAGGGUUGGAGCUAGGGUUAGGGUUAGGGUUGGAGUUAGGGUUAGUGUUGGAGCUAGGGUUAGGGUUGGGCUUGGAGCUAGGAUUUUUCUGAGUGCAAUGAACCAACUCCCGAGUCUCUAGGACGUUCCUAAAAAAAUUUGAUUUUUUCCCAUAGGAAUGCAUGGGUUAGGGUUAUGGUUAGGGUUAGGGUUGGAGCUAGGGUUAGGGUUAGGGUUAGGGUUGGAGUUAGGGUUAGUGUUGGAGCUAGGGUUAGGGUUGGGCUUGGAGCUAGGAUUUUUCUGAGUGCACUGAACCAACUCCCGAGUCUCUAGGACAUUCCUAAAAAAAUUUGAUUUUUUCCCAUAGGAAUGCAUGGGUUAGGGUUAGGGUUAGGGUUGGAGCUAGGGUUAGGGUUAGGGUUAGGGUUGGAGUUAGGGUUAGUGUUGGAGCUAGGGUUAGGGUUGGGCUUGGAGCUAGGAUUUUUCUGAGUGCACUGAACCAACUCCCGAGUCUCUAGGACAUUCCUAAAAAAAUUUGAUUUUUUCCCAUAGGAAUGCAUGGGUUAGGGUUAGGGUUAGGGUUGGAGCUAGGGUUAGGGUUAGGGUUAGGGUUGGAGUUAGGGUUAGUGUUGGAGCUAGGGUUAGGGUUGGGCUUGGAGCUAGGAUUUUUCUGAGUGCACUGAACCAACUCCCGAGUCUCUAGGACAUUCCUAAAAAAAUUUGAUUUUUUCCCAUAGGAAUGCAUGGGUUAGGGUUAUGGUUAGGGUUAGGGUUGGAGCUAGGGUUAGGGUUAGGGUUAGGGUUGGAGUUAGGGUUAGUGUUGGAGCUAGGGUUAGGGUUGGGCUUGGAGCUAGGAUUUUUCUGAGUGCACUGAACCAACUCCCGAGUCUCUUGGACGUUCCUAAAAAAAAUUUGAUUUUUUCCCAUAGGAAUGCAUGGGUUAGGGUUAGGGUUAGGGUUGGAGCUAGGGUUAGGGUUAGGGUUAGGGUUGGAGUUAGGGUUAGUGUUGGAGCUAGGGUUAGGGUUGGGCUUGGAGCUAGGAUUUUUCUGAGUGCACUGAACCAACUCCCGAGUCUCUAGGACGUUCCUAAAAAAAUUUGAUUUUUUCCCAUAGGAAUGCAUGGUUGGGUUAGGGUUAGGGUUAGGGUUGGAGCUAGGGUUAGGGUUAGGGUUAGGGUUGGAGUUAGGGUUAGUGUUGGAGCUAGGGUUAGGGUUGGGCUUGGAGCUAGGAUUUUUCUGAGUGCACUGAACCAACUCCCGAGUCUCUAGGACAUUCCUAAAAAAAUUUGAUUUUUUCCCAUAGGAAUGCAUGGGUUAGGGUUAGGGUUAGGGUUGGAGCUAGGGUUAGGGUUAGGGUUAGGGUUGGAGUUAGGGUUAGUGUUGGAGCUAGGGUUAGGGUUGGGCUUGGAGCUAGGAUUUUUCUGAGUGCACUGAACCAACUCCCGAGUCUCUAGGACAUUCCUAAAAAAAUUUGAUUUUUUCCCAUAGGAAUGCAUGGGUUAGGGUUAUGGUUAGGGUUAGGGUUGGAGCUAGGGUUAGGGUUAGGGUUAGGGUUGGAGUUAGGGUUAGUGUUGGAGCUAGGGUUAGGGUUGGGCUUGGAGCUAGGAUUUUUCUGAGUGCACUGAACCAACUCCCGAGUCUCUAGGACAUUCCUAAAAAAAUUUGAUUUUUUCCCAUAGGAAUGCAUGGGUUAGGGUUAUGGUUAGGGUUAGGGUUGGAGCUAGGGUUAGGGUUAGGGUUAGGGUUAGGGUUAGGGUUGGAGUUAGGGUUAGUGUUGGAGCUAGGGUUAGGGUUGGGCUUGGAGCUAGGAUUUUUCUGAGUGCACUGAACCAACUCCCGAGUCUCUAGGACAUUCCUAAAAAUUUGAUUUUUUCCCAUAGGAAUGCAUGGGUUAGGGUUAUGGUUAGGGUUAGGGUUGGAGCUAGGGUUAGGGUUAGGGUUAGGGUUGGAGUUAGGGUUAGUGUUGGAGCUAGGGUUAGGGUUGGGCUUGGAGCUAGGACUUUUCUGAGUGCAAUGAACCAACUCCCGAGUCUCUAGGACGUUCCUAAAAAAAUUUGAUUUUUUUCCCAUAGGAAUGCAUGGGUUAGGGUUAGGGUUAGGGUUGGAGCUAGGGUUAGGGUUAGGGUUAGGGUUGGAGUUAGGGUUAGUGUUGGAGCUAGGGUUAGGGUUGGGCUUGGAGCUAGGAUUUUUCUGAGUGCACUGAACCAACUCCCGAGUCUCUAGGACAUUCCUAAAAAAAUUUGAUUUUUUCCCAUAGGAAUGCAUGGGUUAGGGUUAGGGUUAGGGUUGGAGCUAGGGUUAGGGUUAGGGUUAGGGUUGGAGUUAGGGUUAGUGUUGGAGCUAGGGUUAGGGUUGGGCUUGGAGCUAGGAUUUUUCUGAGUGCACUGAACCAACUCCCGAGUCUCUAGGACAUUCCUAAAAAAAUUUGAUUUUUUUCCCAUAGGAAUGCAUGGGUUAGGGUUAUGGUUAGGGUUAGGGUUGGAGCUAGGGUUAGGGUUAGGGUUAGGGUUGGAGUUAGGGUUAGUGUUGGAGCUAGGGUUAGGGUUGGGCUUGGAGCUAGGAUUUUUCUGAGUGCAAUGAACCAACUCCCGAGUCUCUUGGACGUUCCUAAAAAAAUUUGAUUUUUUCCCAUAGGAAUGCAUGGGUUAGGGUUAGGGUUAGGGUUGGAGCUAGGGUUAGGGUUAGGGUUAGGGUUGGAGUUAGGGUUAGUGUUGGAGCUAGGGUUAGGGUUGGGCUUGGAGCUAGGAUUUUUCUGAGUGCACUGAACCAACUCCCGAGUCUCUAGGACGUUCCUAAAAAAAUUUGAUUUUUUCCCAUAGGAAUGCAUGGGUUAGGGUUAGGGUUAGGGUUGGAGCUAGGGUUAGGGUUAGGGUUAGGGUUGGAGUUAGGGUUAGUGUUGGAGCUAGGGUUAGGGUUGGGCUUGGAGCUAGGAUUUUUCUGAGUGCACUGAACCAACUCCCGAGUCUCUAGGACAUUCCUAAAAAAAUUUGAUUUUUUCCCAUAGGAAUGCAUGGGUUAGGGUUAGGGUUAGGGUUGGAGCUAGGGUUAGGGUUAGGGUUAGGGUUGGAGUUAGGGUUAGUGUUGGAGCUAGGGUUAGGGUUGGGCUUGGAGCUAGGAUUUUUCUGAGUGCACUGAACCAACUCCCGAGUCUCUAGGACAUUCCUAAAAAAAUUUGAUUUUUUCCCAUAGGAAUGCAUGGGUUAGUUAUGGUUAGGGUUAGGGUUGGAGCUAGGGUUAGGGUUAGGGUUAGGGUUGGAGUUAGGGUUAGUGUUGGAGCUAGGGUUAGGGUUGGGCUUGGAGCUAGGAUUUUUCUGAGUGCACUGAACCAACUCCCGAGUCUCUAGGACAUUCCUAAAAAAAUUUGAUUUUUUCCCAUAGGAAUGCAUGGGUUAGGGUUAUGGUUAGGGUUAGGGUUGGAGCUAGGGUUAGGGUUAGGGUUAGGGUUGGAGUUAGGGUUAGUGUUGGAGCUAGGGUUAGGGUUGGGCUUGGAGCUAGGAUUUUUCUGAGUGCACUGAACCAACUCCCGAGUCUCUAGGACAUUCCUAAAAAAAUUUGAUUUUUUCCCAUAGGAAUGCAUGGGUUAGGGUUAGGGUUAGGGUUGGAGCUAGGGUUAGGGUUAGGGUUAGGGUUGGAGUUAGGGUUAGUGUUGGAGCUAGGGUUAGGGUUGGGCUUGGAGCUAGGAUUUUUCUGAGUGCAAUGAACCAACUCCCGAGUCUCUAGGACGUUCCUAAAAAAAUUUGAUUUUUUCCCAUAGGAAUGCAUGGGUUAGGGUUAGGGUUAGGGUUGGAGCUAGGGUUAGGGUUAGGGUUAGGGUUGGAGUUAGGGUUAGUGUUGGAGCUAGGGUUAGGGUUGGGCUUGGAGCUAGGAUUUUUCUGAGUGCACUGAACCAACUCCCGAGUCUCUAGGACAUUCCUAAAAAAAUUUGAUUUUUUCCCAUAGGAAUGCAUGGGUUAGGGUUAUGGUUAGGGUUAGGGUUGGAGCUAGGGUUAGGGUUAGGGUUAGGGUUGGAGUUAGGGUUAGUGUUGGAGCUAGGGUUAGGGUUGGGCUUGGAGCUAGGAUUUUUCUGAGUGCACUGAACCAACUCCCGAGUCUCUAGGACAUUCCUAAAAAAAUUUGAUUUUUUCCCAUAGGAAUGCAUGGGUUAGGGUUAUGGUUAGGGUUAGGGUUGGAGCUAGGGUUAGGGUUAGGGUUAGGGUUGGAGUUAGGGUUAGUGUUGGAGCUAGGGUUAGGGUUGGGCUUGGAGCUAGGAUUUUCUGAGUGCACUGAACCAACUCCCGAGUCUCUAGGACAUUCCUAAAAAAAUUUGAUUUUUUCCCAUAGGAAUGCAUGGGUUAGGGUUAUGGUUAGGGUUAGGGUUGGAGCUAGGGUUAGGGUUAGGGUUAGGGUUAGGGUUGGAGUUAGGGUUAGUGUUGGAGCUAGGGUUAGGGUUGGGCUUGGAGCUAGGAUUUUUCUGAGUGCACUGAACCAACUCCCGAGUCUCUAGGACAUUCCUAAAAAAAUUUGAUUUUUUUCCCAUAGGUAUGCAUGGGUUAGGGUUAGGGUUAGGGUUAGGGUUGGAGCUAGGGUUAGGGUUAGGGUUAGGGUUGGAGUUAGGGUUAGUGUUGGAGCUAGGGUUAGGGUUGGGCUUGGAGCUAGGAUUUUUCUGAGUGCAAUGAACCAACUCCCGAGUCUCUAGGACGUUCCUAAAAAAAUUUGAUUUUUUCCCAUAGGAAUGCAUGGGUUAGGGUUAGGGUUAGGGUUGGAGCUAGGGUUAGGGUUAGGGUUAGGGUUGGAGUUAGGGUUAGUGUUGGAGCUAGGGUUAGGGUUGGGCUUGGAGCUAGGAUUUUCUGAGUGCACUGAACCAACUCCCGAGUCUCUAGGACAUUCCUAAAAAAAUUUGAUUUUUUCCCAUAGGAAUGCAUGGGUUAGGGUUAGGGUUAGGGUUGGAGCUAGGGUUAGGGUUAGGGUUAGGGUUGGAGUUAGGGUUAGUGUUGGAGCUAGGGUUAGGGUUGGGCUUGGAGCUAGGAUUUUUCUGAGUGCACUGAACCAACUCCCGAGUCUCUAGGACAUUCCUAAAAAAAUUUGAUUUUUUCCCAUAGGAAUGCAUGGGUUAGGGUUAUGGUUAGGGUUAGGGUUGGAGCUAGGGUUAGGGUUAGGGUUAGGGUUGGAGUUAGGGUUAGUGUUGGAGCUAGGGUUAGGGUUGGGCUUGGAGCUAGGAUUUUUCUGAGUGCACUGAACCAACUCCCGAGUCUCUAGGACAUUCCUAAAAAAAUUUGAUUUUUUCCCAUAGGAAUGCAUGGGUUAGGGUUAUGGUUAGGGUUAGGGUUGGAGCUAGGGUUAGGGUUAGGGUUAGGGUUGGAGUUAGGGUUAGUGUUGGAGCUAGGGUUAGGGUUGGGCUUGGAGCUAGGAUUUUUCUGAGUGCACUGAACCAACUCCCGAGUCUCUAGGACAUUCCUAAAAAAAUUUGAUUUUUUCCCAUAGGAAUGCAUGGGUUAGGGUUAUGGUUAGGGUUAGGGUUGGAGCUAGGGUUAGGGUUAGGGUUAGGGUUGGAGUUAGGGUUAGUGUUGGAGCUAGGGUUAGGGUUGGGCUUGGAGCUAGGAUUUUUCUGAGUGCACUGAACCAACUCCCGAGUCUCUAGGACGUUCCUAAAAAAAAUUUGAUUUUUUCCCAUAGGAAUGCAUGGGUUAGGGUUAGGGUUAGGGUUGGAGCUAGGGUUAGGGUUAGGGUUAGGGUUGGAGUUAGGGUUAGUGUUGGAGCUAGGGUUAGGGUUGGGCUUGGAGCUAGGAUUUUUCUGAGUGCACUGAACCAACUCCCGAGUCUCUAGGACAUUCCUAAAAAAAUUUGAUUUUUUCCCAUAGGAAUGCAUGGGUUAGGGUUAGGGUUAGGGUUGGAGCUAGGGUUAGGGUUAGGGUUAGGGUUGGAGUUAGGGUUAGUGUUGGAGCUAGGGUUAGGGUUGGGCUUGGAGCUAGGAUUUUUCUGAGUGCACUGAACCAACUCCCGAGUCUCUAGGACAUUCCUAAAAAAAUUUGAUUUUUUCCCAUAGGAAUGCAUGGGUUAGGGUUAUGGUUAGGGUUAGGGUUGGAGCUAGGGUUAGGGUUAGGGUUAGGGUUGGAGUUAGGGUUAGUGUUGGAGCUAGGGUUAGGGUUGGGCUUGGAGCUAGGACUUUUCUGAGUGCAAUGAACCAACUCCCGAGUCUCUAGGACGUUCCUAAAAAAAUUUGAUUUUUUCCCAUAGGAAUGCAUGGGUUAGGGUUAGGGUUAGGGUUGGAGCUAGGGUUAGGGUUAGGGUUAGGGUUGGAGUUAGGGUUAGUGUUGGAGCUAGGGUUAGGGUUGGGCUUGGAGCUAGGAUUUUUCUGAGUGCACUGAACCAACUCCCGAGUCUCUAGGACGUUCCUAAAAAAAUUUGAUUUUUUCCCAUAGGAAUGCAUGGGUUAGGGUUAGGGUUAGGGUUGGAGCUAGGGUUAGGGUUAGGGUUAGGGUUGGAGUUAGGGUUAGUGUUGGAGCUAGGGUUAGGGUUGGGCUUGGAGCUAGGAUUUUUCUGAGUGCACUGAACCAACUCCCGAGUCUCUAGGACAUUCCUAAAAAAAUUUGAUUUUUUCCCAUAGGAAUGCAUGGGUUAGGGUUAGGGUUAGGGUUGGAGCUAGGGUUAGGGUUAGGGUUAGGGUUGGAGUUAGGGUUAGUGUUGGAGCUAGGGUUAGGGUUGGGCUUGGAGCUAGGAUUUUUCUGAGUGCACUGAACCAACUCCCGAGUCUCUAGGACAUUCCUAAAAAAAUUUGAUUUUUUCCCAUAGGAAUGCAUGGGUUAGGGUUAUGGUUAGGGUUAGGGUUGGAGCUAGGGUUAGGGUUAGGGUUAGGGUUGGAGUUAGGGUUAGUGUUGGAGCUAGGGUUAGGGUUGGGCUUGGAGCUAGGAUUUUUCUGAGUGCAAUGAACCAACUCCCGAGUCUCUAGGACGUUCCUAAAAAAAUUUGAUUUUUUUCCCAUAGGAAUGCAUGGGUUAGGGUUAGGGUUAGGGUUGGAGCUAGGGUUAGGGUUAGGGUUAGGGUUGGAGUUAGGGUUAGUGUUGGAGCUAGGGUUAGGGUUGGGCUUGGAGCUAGGAUUUUUCUGAGUGCACUGAACCAACUCCCGAGUCUCUAGGACAUUCCUAAAAAAAUUUGAUUUUUUCCCAUAGGAAUGCAUGGGUUAGGGUUAGGGUUAGGGUUGGAGCUAGGGUUAGGGUUAGGGUUAGGGUUGGAGUUAGGGUUAGUGUUGGAGCUAGGGUUAGGGUUGGGCUUGGAGCUAGGAUUUUUCUGAGUGCACUGAACCAACUCCCGAGUCUCUAGGACAUUCCUAAAAAAAUUUGAUUUUUUUCCCAUAGGAAUGCAUGGGUUAGGGUUAGGGUUAGGGUUAGGGUUGGAGCUAGGGUUAGGGUUAGGGUUGGAGUUAGGGUUAGUGUUGGAGCUAGGGUUAGGGUUGGGCUUGGAGCUAGGAUUUUUCUGAGUGCAAUGAACCAACUCCCGAGUCUCUAGGACGUUCCUAAAAAAAUUUGAUUUUUUCCCAUAGGAAUGCAUGGGUUAGGGUUAGGGUUAGGGUUGGAGCUAGGGUUAGGGUUAGGGUUAGGGUUGGAGUUAGGGUUAGUGUUGGAGCUAGGGUUAGGGUUGGGCUUGGAGCUAGGAUUUUUCUGAGUGCACUGAACCAACUCCCGAGUCUCUAGGACGUUCCUAAAAAAAUUUGAUUUUUUCCCAUAGGAAUGCAUGGGUUAGGGUUAGGGUUAGGGUUGGAGCUAGGGUUAGGGUUAGGGUUAGGGUUGGAGUUAGGGUUAGUGUUGGAGCUAGGGUUAGGGUUGGGCUUGGAGCUAGGAUUUUUCUGAGUGCACUGAACCAACUCCCGAGUCUCUAGGACAUUCCUAAAAAAAUUUGAUUUUUUUCCCAUAGGAAUGCAUGGGUUAGGGUUAGGGUUAGGGUUGGAGCUAGGGUUAGGGUUAGGGUUAGGGUUGGAGUUAGGGUUAGUGUUGGAGCUAGGGUUAGGGUUGGGCUUGGAGCUAGGAUUUUUCUGAGUGCACUGAACCAACUCCCGAGUCUCUAGGACAUUCCUAAAAAAAUUUGAUUUUUUCCCAUAGGAAUGCAUGGGUUAGGGUUAUGGUUAGGGUUAGGGUUGGAGCUAGGGUUAGGGUUAGGGUUAGGGUUGGAGUUAGGGUUAGUGUUGGAGCUAGGGUUAGGGUUGGGCUUGGAGCUAGGACUUUUCUGAGUGCAAUGAACCAACUCCCGAGUCUCUAGGACGUUCCUAAAAAAAUUUGAUUUUUUUCCCAUAGGAAUGCAUGGGUUAGGGUUAGGGUUAGGGUUGGAGCUAGGGUUAGGGUUAGGGUUAGGGUUGGAGUUAGGGUUAGUGUUGGAGCUAGGGUUAGGGUUGGGCUUGGAGCUAGGAUUUUUCUGAGUGCAAUGAACCAACUCCCGAGUCUCUAGGACGUUCCUAAAAAAAUUUGAUUUUUUCCCAUAGGAAUGCAUGGGUUAGGGUUAUGGUUAGGGUUGGAGCUAGGGUUAGGGUUAGGGUUAGGGUUGGAGUUAGGGUUAGUGUUGGAGCUAGGGUUAGGGUUGGGCUUGGAGCUAGGAUUUUUCUGAGUGCAAUGAACCAACUCCCGAGUCUCUAGGACGUUCCUAAAAAAAUUUGAUUUUUUCCCAUAGGAAUGCAUGGGUUAGGGUUAGGGUUAGGGUUGGAGCUAGGGUUAGGGUUAGGGUUAGGGUUGGAGUUAGGGUUAGUGUUGGAGCUAGGGUUAGGGUUGGGCUUGGAGCUAGGAUUUUUCUGAGUGCACUGAACCAACUCCCGAGUCUCUAGGACAUUCCUAAAAAAAUUUGAUUUUUUUCCCAUAGGAAUGCAUGGGUUAGGGUUAUGGUUAGGGUUAGGGUUGGAGCUAGGGUUAGGGUUAGGGUUAGGGUUAGGGUUAGGGUUGGAGUUAGGGUUAGUGUUGGAGCUAGGGUUAGGGUUGGGCUUGGAGCUAGGAUUUUUCUGAGUGCACUGAACCAACUCCCGAGUCUCUAGGACAUUCCUAAAAAAAUUUGAUUUUUUUCCCAUAGGAAUGCAUGGGUUAGGGUUAUGGUUAGGGUUAGGGUUGGAGCUAGGUUUAGGGUUAGGGUUAGGGUUGGAGUUAGGGUUAGUGUUGGAGCUAGGGUUAGGGUUGGGCUUGGAGCUAGGAUUUUUCUGAGUGCAAUGAACCAACUCCCGAGUCUCUAGGACGUUCCUAAAAAAAUUUGAUUUUUUUCCCAUAGGAAUGCAUGGGUUAGGGUUAGGGUUAGGGUUGGAGCUAGGGUUAGGGUUAGGGUUAGGGUUGGAGUUAGGGUUAGUGUUGGAGCUAGGGUUAGGGUUGGGCUUGGAGCUAGGAUUUUUCUGAGUGCACUGAACCAACUCCCGAGUCUCUAGGACAUUCCUAAAAAAAUUUGAUUUUUUCCCAUAGGAAUGCAUGGGUUAGGGUUAGGGUUAGGGUUGGAGCUAGGGUUAGGGUUAGGGUUAGGGUUGGAGUUAGGGUUAGUGUUGGAGCUAGGGUUAGGGUUGGGCUUGGAGCUAGGAUUUUUCUGAGUGCACUGAACCAACUCCCGAGUCUCUAGGACAUUCCUAAAAAAAUUUGAUUUUUUUCCCAUAGGAAUGCAUGGGUUAGGGUUAGGGUUAGGGUUGGGGUAGGGUUAGGGUUAGGGUUAGGGUUGGAGUUAGGGUUAGUGUUGGAGCUAGGGUUAGGGUUGGGCUUGGAGCUAGGAUUUUUCUGAGUGCAAUGAACCAACUCCCGAGUCUCUUGGACGUUCCUAAAAAAAUUUGAUUUUUUCCCAUAGGAAUGCAUGGGUUAGGGUUAGGGUUAGGGUUGGAGCUAGGGUUAGGGUUAGGGUUAGGGUUGGAGUUAGGGUUAGUGUUGGAGCUAGGGUUAGGGUUGGGCUUGGAGCUAGGAUUUUUCUGAGUGCACUGAACCAACUCCCGAGUCUCUAGGACGUUCCUAAAAAAAUUUGAUUUUUUCCCAUAGGAAUGCAUGGGUUAGGGUUAGGGUUAGGGUUGGAGCUAGGGUUAGGGUUAGGGUUAGGGUUGGAGUUAGGGUUAGUGUUGGAGCUAGGGUUAGGGUUGGGCUUGGAGCUAGGAUUUUUCUGAGUGCACUGAACCAACUCCCGAGUCUCUAGGACAUUCCUAAAAAAAUUUGAUUUUUUCCCAUAGGAAUGCAUGGGUUAGGGUUAGGGUUAGGGUUGGAGCUAGGGUUAGGGUUAGGGUUAGGGUUGGAGUUAGGGUUAGUGUUGGAGCUAGGGUUAGGGUUGGGCUUGGAGCUAGGAUUUUUCUGAGUGCACUGAACCAACUCCCGAGUCUCUAGGACAUUCCUAAAAAAAUUUGAUUUUUUCCCAUAGGAAUGCAUGGGUUAGGGUUAUGGUUAGGGUUAGGGUUGGAGCUAGGGUUAGGGUUAGGGUUAGGGUUGGAGUUAGGGUUAGUGUUGGAGCUAGGGUUAGGGUUGGGCUUUGAGCUAGGAUUUUUCUGAGUGCAAUGAACCAACUCCCGAGUCUCUUGGACGUUCCUAAAAAAAUUUGAUUUUUUCCCAUAGGAAUGCAUGGGUUAGGGUUAGGGUUAGGGUUGGAGCUAGGGUUAGGGUUAGGGUUAGGGUUGGAGUUAGGGUUAGUGUUGGAGCUAGGGUUAGGGUUGGGCUUUGAGCUAGGAUUUUUCUGAGUGCAAUGAACCAACUCCCGAGUCUCUAGGACAUUCCUAAAAAAAUUUGAUUUUUCCCAUAGGAAUGCAUGGUUUAGGGUUAUGGUUGGAGCUAGGGUUAGGGUUAGGGUUAGGGUUGGAGUUAGGGUUAGUGUUGGAGCUAGGGUUAGGGUUGGGCUUGGAGCUAGGAUUUUUCUGAGUGCACUGAACCAACUCCCGAGUCUCUAGGACAUUCCUAAAAAAAUUUGAUUUUUUCCCAUAGGAAUGCAUGGGUUAGGGUUAUGGUUAGGGUUAGGGUUGGAGCUAGGGUUAGGGUUAGGGUUAGGGUUGGAGUUAGGGUUAGUGUUGGAGCUAGGGUUAGGGUUGGGCUUGGAGCUAGGACUUUUCUGAGUGCAAUGAACCAACUCCCGAGUCUCUAGGACAUUCCUAAAAAAAUUUGAUUUUUUCCCAUAGGAAUGCAUGGGUUAGGGUUAUGGUUAGGGUUAGGGUUGGAGCUAGGGUUAGGGUUAGGGUUAGGGUUGGAGUUAGGGUUAGUGUUGGAGCUAGGGUUAGGGUUGGGCUUGGAGCUAGGAUUUUUCUGAGUGCACUGAACCAACUCCCGAGUCUCUAGGACAUUCCUAAAAAAAUUUGAUUUUUUCCCAUAGGAAUGCAUGGGUUAGGGUUAGGGUUAGGGUUAGGGUUGGAGCUAGGGUUAGGGUUAGGGUUGGAGUUAGGGUUAGUGUUGGAGCUAGGGUUAGGGUUGGGCUUGGAGCUAGGAUUUUUCUGAGUGCAAUGAACCAACUCCCGAGUCUCUUGGACGUUCCUAAAAAAAUUUGAUUUUUUCCCAUAGGAAUGCAUGGGUUAGGGUUAGGGUUAGGGUUGGAGCUAGGGUUAGGGUUAGGGUUAGGGUUGGAGUUAGGGUUAGUGUUGGAGCUAGGGUUAGGGUUGGGCUUGGAGCUAGGAUUUUUCUGAGUGCACUGAACCAACUCCCGAGUCUCUAGGACGUUCCUAAAAAAAUUUGAUUUUUUUCCCAUAGGAAUGCAUGGGUUAGGGUUAGGGUUAGGGUUGGAGGUAGGGUUAGGGUUAGGGUUAGGGUUGGAGUUAGGGUUAGUGUUGGAGCUAGGGUUAGGGUUGGGCUUGGAGCUAGGAUUUUUCUGAGUGCACUGAACCAACUCCCGAGUCUCUAGGACAUUCCUAAAAAAAUUUGAUUUUUUCCCAUAGGAAUGCAUGGGUUAGGGUUAGGGUUAGGGUUGGAGCUAGGGUUAGGGUUAGGGUUAGGGUUGGAGUUAGGGUUAGUGUUGGAGCUAGGGUUAGGGUUGGGCUUGGAGCUAGGAUUUUUCUGAGUGCACUGAACCAACUCCCGAGUCUCUAGGACAUUCCUAAAAAAAUUUGAUUUUUUCCCAUAGGAAUGCAUGGGUUAGGGUUAUGGUUAGGGUUAGGGUUGGAGCUAGGGUUAGGGUUAGGGUUAGGGUUGGAGUUAGGGUUAGUGUUGGAGCUAGGGUUAGGGUUGGGCUUGGAGCUAGGAUUUUUCUGAGUGCACUGAACCAACUCCCGAGUCUCUAGGACAUUCCUAAAAAAAUUUGAUUUUUUCCCAUAGGAAUGCAUGGGUUAGGGUUAUGGUUAGGGUUAGGGUUGGAGCUAGGGUUAGGGUUAGGGUUAGGGUUGGAGUUAGGGUUAGUGUUGGAGCUAGGGUUAGGGUUGGGCUUGGAGCUAGGAUUUUCUGAGUGCAAUGAACCAACUCCCGAGUCUCUAGGACAUUCCUAAAAAAAAUUGAUUUUUUCCCAUAGGAAUGCAUGGGUUAGGGUUAGGGUUAGGGUUGGAGCUAGGGUUAGGGUUAGGGUUAGGGUUGGAGUUAGGGUUAGUGUUGGAGCUAGGGUUAGGGUUGGGCUUGGAGCUAGGAUUUUUCUGAGUGCAAUGAACCAACUCCCGAGUCUCUAGGACGUUCCUAAAAAAUUUGAUUUUUUCCCAUAGGAAUGCAUGGGUUAGGGUUAUGGUUAGGGUUGGAGCUAGGGUUAGGGUUAGGGUUAGGGUUGGAGUUAGGGUUAGUGUUGGAGUUGGGUUAGGGUUGGGCUUGGAGCUAGGAUUUUUCUGAGUGCACUGAACCAACUCCCGAGUCUCUAGGACGUUCCUAAAAAAAUUUGAUUUUUUUCCCAUAGGAAUGCAUGGGUUAGGGUUAGGGUUAGGGUUGGAGCUAGGGUUAGGGUUAGGGUUAGGGUUGGAGUUAGGGUUAGUGUUGGAGCUAGGGUUAGGGUUGGGCUUGGAGCUAGGAUUUUUCUGAGUGCACUGAACCAACUCCCGAGUCUCUAGGACAUUCCUAAAAAAAUUUGAUUUUUUUCCCAUAGGAAUGCAUGGGUUAGGGUUAUGGUUAGGGUUAGGGUUGGAGCUAGGGUUAGGGUUAGGGUUAGGGUUGGAGUUAGGGUUAGUGUUGGAGCUAGGGUUAGGGUUGGGCUUGGAGCUAGGACUUUUCUGAGUGCAAUGAACCAACUCCCGAGUCUCUAGGACAUUCCUAAAAAAAUUUGAUUUUUUCCCAUAGGAAUGCAUGGGUUAGGGUUAUGGUUAGGGUUAGGGUUGGAGCUAGGGUUAGGGUUAGGGUUAGGGUUGGAGUUGGAGUUAGGGUUAGUGUUGGAGCUAGGGUUAGGGUUGGGCUUGGAGCUAGGAUUUUUCUGAGUGCACUGAACCAACUCCCGAGUCUCUAGGACAUUCCUAAAAAAAUUUGAUUUUUUCCCAUAGGAAUGCAUGGGUUAGGGUUAGGGUUAGGGUUGGAGCUAGGGUUAGGGUUAGGGUUAGGGUUGGAGUUAGGGUUAGUGUUGGAGCUAGGGUUAGGGUUGGGCUUGGAGCUAGGAUUUUUCUGAGUGCACUGAACCAACUCCCGAGUCUCUAGGACAUUCCUAAAAAAAUUUGAUUUUUUCCCAUAGGAAUGCAUGGGUUAGGGUUAGGGUUAGGGUUGGAGCUAGGGUUAGGGUUAGGGUUAGGGUUGGAGUUAGGGUUAGUGUUGGAGCUAGGGUUAGGGUUGGGCUUGGAGCUAGGAUUUUUCUGAGUGCACUGAACCAACUCCCGAGUCUCUAGGACAUUCCUAAAAAAAUUUGAUUUUUUUCCCAUAGGAAUGCAUGGGUUAGGGUUAUGGUUAGGGUUAGGGUUGGAGCUAGGGUUAGGGUUAGGGUUAGGGUUGGAGUUAGGGUUAGUGUUGGAGCUAGGGUUAGGGUUGGGCUUGGAGCUAGGAUUUUUCUGAGUGCAAUGAACCAACUCCCGAGUCUCUUGGACGUUCCUAAAAAAAUUUGAUUUUUUCCCAUAGGAAUGCAUGGGUUAGGGUUAGGGUUAGGGUUGGAGCUAGGGUUAGGGUUAGGGUUAGGGUUGGAGUUAGGGUUAGUGUUGGAGCUAGGGUUAGGGUUGGGCUUGGAGCUAGGAUUUUUCUGAGUGCACUGAACCAACUCCCGAGUCUCUAGGACGUUCCCAAAAAAAUUUGAUUUUUUCCCAUAGGAAUGCAUGGGUUAGGGUUAGGGUUAGGGUUGGAGCUAGGGUUAGGGUUAGGGUUAGGGUUGGAGUUAGGGUUAGUGUUGGAGCUAGGGUUAGGGUUGGGCUUGGAGCUAGGAUUUUUCUGAGUGCACUGAACCAACUCCCGAGUCUCUAGGACAUUCCUAAAAAAAUUUGAUUUUUUCCCAUAGGAAUGCAUGGGUUAGGGUUAGGGUUAGGGUUGGAGCUAGGGUUAGGGUUAGGGUUGGAGUUAGGGUUAGUGUUGGAGUUGGGUUAGGGUUGGGCUUGGAGCUAGGAUUUUUCUGAGUGCAAUGAACCAACUCCCGAGUCUCUAGGACGUUCCUAAAAAAAUUUGAUUUUUUCCCAUAGGAAUGCAUGGGUUAGGGUUAGGGUUAGGGUUGGAGCUAGGGUUAGGGUUAGGGUUAGGGUUGGAGUUAGGGUUAGUGUUGGAGCUAGGGUUAGGGUUGGGCUUGGAGCUAGGAUUUUUCUGAGUGCACUGAACCAACUCCCGAGUCUCUAGGACAUUCCUAAAAAAAUUUGAUUUUUUCCCAUAGGAAUGCAUGGGUUAGGGUUAUGGUUAGGGUUAGGGUUGGAGCUAGGGUUAGGGUUAGGGUUAGGGUUGGAGUUAGGGUUAGUGUUGGAGCUAGGGUUAGGGUUGGGCUUGGAGCUAGGACUUUUCUGAGUGCAAUGAACCAACUCCCGAGUCUCUAGGAAAUUCCUAAAAAAAUUUGAUUUUUUCCCAUAGGAAUGCAUGGGUUAGGGUUAUGGUUAGGGUUAGGGUUGGAGCUAGGGUUAGGGUUAGGGUUAGGGUUGGAGUUAGGGUUAGUGUUGGAGCUAGGGUUAGGGUUGGGCUUGGAGCUAGGAUUUUUCUGAGUGCACUGAACCAACUCCCGAGUCUCUAGGACAUUCCUAAAAAAAUUUGAUUUUUUUCCCAUAGGAAUGCAUGGGUUAGGGUUAGGGUUAGGGUUGGAGCUAGGGUUAGGGUUAGGGUUAGGGUUGGAGUUAGGGUUAGUGUUGGAGCUAGGGUUAGGGUUGGGCUUGGAGCUAGGAUUUUUCUGAGUGCACUGAACCAACUCCCGAGUCUCUAGGACAUUCCUAAAAAAAUUUGAUUUUUUCCCAUAGGAAUGCAUGGGUUAGGGUUAGGGUUAGGGUUGGAGCUAGGGUUAGGGUUAGGGUUAGGGUUGGAGUUAGGGUUAGUGUUGGAGCUAGGGUUAGGGUUGGGCUUGGAGCUAGGAUUUUUCUGAGUGCACUGAACCAACUCCCGAGUCUCUAGGACAUUCCUAAAAAAAUUUGAUUUUUUUCCCAUAGGAAUGCAUGGGUUAGGGUUAUGGUUAGGGUUAGGGUUGGAGCUAGGGUUAGGGUUAGGGUUAGGGUUGGAGUUAGGGUUAGUGUUGGAGCUAGGGUUAGGGUUGGGCUUGGAGCUAGGAUUUUUCUGAGUGCAAUGAACCAACUCCCGAGUCUCUUGGACGUUCCUAAAAAAAUUUGAUUUUUUCCCAUAGGAAUGCAUGGGUUAGGGUUAGGGUUAGGGUUGGAGCUAGGGUUAGGGUUAGGGUUAGGGUUGGAGUUAGGGUUAGUGUUGGAGCUAGGGUUAGGGUUGGGCUUGGAGCUAGGAUUUUUCUGAGUGCACUGAACCAACUCCUGAGUCUCUAGGACGUUCCUAAAAAAAUUUGAUUUUUUCCCAUAGGAAUGCAUGGGUUAGGGUUAGGGUUAGGGUUGGAGCUAGGGUUAGGGUUAGGGUUAGGGUUGGAGUUAGGGUUAGUGUUGGAGCUAGGGUUAGGGUUGGGCUUGGAGCUAGGAUUUUUCUGAGUGCACUGAACCAACUCCCGAGUCUCUAGGACAUUCCUAAAAAAAUUUGAUUUUUUCCCAUAGGAAUGCAUGGGUUAGGGUUAGGGUUAGGGUUGGAGCUAGGGUUAGGGUUAGGGUUAGGGUUGGAGUUAGGGUUAGUGUUGGAGCUAGGGUUAGGGUUGGGCUUGGAGCUAGGAUUUUUCUGAGUGCACUGAACCAACUCCCGAGUCUCUAGGACAUUCCUAAAAAAAUUUGAUUUUUUCCCAUAGGAAUGCAUGGGUUAGGGUUAUGGUUAGGGUUAGGGUUGGAGCUAGGGUUAGGGUUAGGGUUAGGGUUGGAGUUAGGGUUAGUGUUGGAGCUAGGGUUAGGGUUGGGCUUGGAGCUAGGACUUUUCUGAGUGCAAUGAACCAACUCCCGAGUCUCUAGGACGUUCCCUAAAAAAAUUUGAUUUUUUCCCAUAGGAAUGCAUGGGUUAUGGUUAGGGUUAGGGUUGGAGCUAGGGUUAGGGUUAGGGUUAGGGUUGGAGUUAGGGUUAGUGUUGGAGCUAGGGUUAGGGUUGGGCUUGGAGCUAGGAUUUUUCUGAGUGCACUGAACCAACUCCCGAGUCUCUAGGACAUUCCUAAAAAAAUUUGAUUUUUUCCCAUAGGAAUGCAUGGGUUAGGGUUAGGGUUAGGGUUGGAGCUAGGGUUAGGGUUAGGGUUAGGGUUGGAGUUAGGGUUAGUGUUGGAGCUAGGGUUAGGGUUGGGCUUGGAGCUAGGAUUUUUCUGAGUGCACUGAACCAACUCCCGAGUCUCUAGGACAUUCCUAAAAAAAUUUGAUUUUUUCCCAUAGGAAUGCAUGGGUUAGGGUUAUGGUUAGGGUUAGGGUUGGAGCUAGGGUUAGGGUUAGGGUUAGGGUUGGAGUUAGGGUUAGUGUUGGAGCUAGGGUUAGGGUUGGGCUUGGAGCUAGGAUUUUUCUGAGUGCAAUGAACCAACUCCCGAGUCUCUAGGACUUUCCUAAAAAAAUUUGAUUUUUUCCCAUAGGAAUGCAUGGGUUAGGGUUAGGGUUAGGGUUGGAGCUAGGGUUAGGGUUAGGGUUAGGGUUGGAGUUAGGGUUAGUGUUGGAGCUAGGGUUAGGGUUGGGCUUGGAGCUAGGAUUUUUCUGAGUGCACUGAACCAACUCCCGAGUCUCUAGGACAUUCCUAAAAAAAUUUGAUUUUUUCCCAUAGGAAUGCAUGGGUUAGGGUUAGGGUUAGGGUUGGAGCUAGGGUUAGGGUUAGGGUUAGGGUUGGAGUUAGGGUUAGUGUUGGAGCUAGGGUUAGGGUUGGGCUUGGAGCUAGGAUUUUUCUGAGUGCACUGAACCAACUCCCGAGUCUCUAGGACAUUCCUAAAAAAAUUUGAUUUUUUCCCAUAGGAAUGCAUGGGUUAUGGUUAGGGUUAGGGUUGGAGCUAGGGUUAGGGUUAGGGUUAGGGUUGGAGUUAGGGUUAGUGUUGGAGCUAGGGUUAGGGUUGGGCUUGGAGCUAGGAUUUUUCUGAGUGCACUGAACCAACUCCCGAGUCUCUAGGACAUUCCUAAAAAAAUUUGAUUUUUUCCCAUAGGAAUGCAUGGGUUAGGGUUAUGGUUAGGGUUAGGGUUGGAGCUAGGGUUAGGGUUAGGGUUAGGGUUGGAGUUAGGGUUAGUGUUGGAGCUAGGGUUAGGGUUGGGCUUGGAGCUAGGAUUUUUCUGAGUGCAAUGAACCAACUCCCGAGUCUCUAGGACGUUCCUAAAAAAAUUUGAUUUUUUCCCAUAGGAAUGCAUGGUUUAGGGUUAUGGUUAGGGGCUAGGGUUAGGGUUAGGGUUAGGGUUAGGGUUGGAGUUAGGGUUAGUGUUGGAGCUAGGGUUAGGGUUGGGCUUGGAGCUAGGAUUUUUCUGAGUGCACUGAACCAACUCCCGAGUCUCUAGGACGUUCCUAAAAAAAUUUGAUUUUUUCCCAUAGGAAUGCAUGGGUUAGGGUUAUGGUUAGGGUUGGAGCUAGGGUUAGGGUUAGGGUUAGGGUUGGAGUUAGGGUUAGUGUUGGAGCUAGGGUUAGGGUUGGGCUUGGAGCUAGGAUUUUUCUGAGUGCAAUGAACCAACUCCCGAGUCUCUAGGACGUUCCUAAAAAAAUUUGAUUUUUUCCCAUAGGAAUGCAUGGGUUAGGGUUAGGGUUAGGGUUGGAGCUAGGGUUAGGGUUAGGGUUAGGGUUGGAGUUAGGGUUAGUGUUGGAGCUAGGGUUAGGGUUGGGCUUGGAGCUAGGACUUUUCUGAGUGCACUGAACCAACUCCCGAGUCUCUAGGACGUUCCCUAAAAAAAUUUGAUUUUUUCCCAUAGGAAUGCAUGGGUUAGGGUUAGGGUUAGGGUUGGAGCUAGGGUUAGGGUUAGGGUUAGGGUUGGAGUUAGGGUUAGUGUUGGAGCUAGGGUUAGGGUUGGGCUUGGAGCUAGGAUUUUUCUGAGUGCACUGAACCAACUCCCGAGUCUCUAGGACAUUCCUAAAAAAAUUUGAUUUUUUCCCAUAGGAAUGCAUGGGUUAGGGUUAGGGUUAGGGUUGGAGCUAGGGUUAGGGUUAGGGUUAGGGUUGGAGUUAGGGUUAGUGUUGGAGCUAGGGUUAGGGUUGGGCUUGGAGCUAGGAUUUUUCUGAGUGCACUGAACCAACUCCCGAGUCUCUAGGACAUUCCUAAAAAAAUUUGAUUUUUUCCCAUAGGAAUGCAUGGGUUAGGGUUAGGGUUAGGGUUAGGGUUGGAGCUAGGGUUAGGGUUAGGGUUGGAGUUAGGGUUAGUGUUGGAGCUAGGGUUAGGGUUGGGCUUGGAGCUAGGAAUUUUCUGAGUGCAAUGAACCAACUCCCGAGUCUCUAGGACGUUCCUAAAAAAAUUUGAUUUUUUUCCCAUAGGAAUGCAUGGGUUAGGGUUAGGGUUAGGGUUGGAGCUAGGGUUAGGGUUAGGGUUAGGGUUGGAGUUAGGGUUAGUGUUGGAGCUAGGGUUAGGGUUGGGCUUGGAGCUAGGAUUUUUCUGAGUGCACUGAACCAACUCCCGAGUCUCUAGGACGUUCCUAAAAAAAUUUGAUUUUUUCCCAUAGGAAUGCAUGGGUUAGGGUUAGGGUUAGGGUUGGAGGUAGGGUUAGGGUUAGGGUUAGGGUUGGAGUUAGGGUUAGUGUUGGAGCUAGGGUUAGGGUUGGGCUUGGAGCUAGGAUUUUUCUGAGUGCACUGAACCAACUCCCGAGUCUCUAGGACAUUCCUAAAAAAAUUUGAUUUUUUUCCCAUAGGAAUGCAUGGGUUAGGGUUAUGGUUAGGGUUAGGGUUGGAGCUAGGGUUAGGGUUAGGGUUAGGGUUGGAGUUAGGGUUAGUGUUGGAGCUAGGGUUAGGGUUGGGCUUGGAGCUAGGACUUUUCUGAGUGCAAUGAACCAACUCCCGAGUCUCUUGGACGUUCCCUAAAAAAAUUUGAUUUUUUCCCAUAGGAAUGCAUGGGUUAGGGUUAGGGUUAGGGUUGGAGCUAGGGUUAGGGUUAGGGUUAGGGUUGGAGUUAGGGUUAGUGUUGGAGCUAGGGUUAGGGUUGGGCUUGGAGCUAGGAUUUUUCUGAGUGCACUGAACCAACUCCCGAGUCUCUAGGACAUUCCUAAAAAAAUUUGAUUUUUUCCCAUAGGAAUGCAUGGGUUAGGGUUAGGGUUAGGGUUGGAGCUAGGGUUAGGGUUAGGGUUAGGGUUGGAGUUAGGGUUAGUGUUGGAGCUAGGGUUAGGGUUGGGCUUGGAGCUAGGAUUUUUCUGAGUGCACUGAACCAACUCCCGAGUCUCUAGGACAUUCCUAAAAAAAUUUGAUUUUUUUCCCAUAGGAAUGCAUGGGUUAGGGUUAUGGUUAGGGUUAGGGUUGGAGCUAGGGUUAGGGUUAGGGUUAGGGUUGGAGUUAGGGUUAGUGUUGGAGCUAGGGUUAGGGUUGGGCUUGGAGCUAGGAUUUUUCUGAGUGCAAUGAACCAACUCCCGAGUCUCUAGGACUUUCCUAAAAAAAUUUGAUUUUUUCCCAUAGGAAUGCAUGGGUUAGGGUUAGGGUUAGGGUUGGAGCUAGGGUUAGGGUUAGGGUUAGGGUUGGAGUUAGGGUUAGUGUUGGAGCUAGGGUUAGGGUUGGGCUUGGAGCUAGGAUUUUUCUGAGUGCACUGAACCAACUCCCGAGUCUCUAGGACAUUCCUAAAAAAAUUUGAUUUUUUCCCAUAGGAAUGCAUGGGUUAGGGUUAGGGUUAGGGUUGGAGCUAGGGUUAGGGUUAGGGUUAGGGUUGGAGUUAGGGUUAGUGUUGGAGCUAGGGUUAGGGUUGGGCUUGGAGCUAGGAUUUUUCUGAGUGCACUGAACCAACUCCCGAGUCUCUAGGACAUUCCUAAAAAAAUUUGAUUUUUUCCCAUAGGAAUGCAUGGGUUAGGGUUAGGGUUAGGGUUGGAGCUAGGGUUAGGGUUAGGGUUAGGGUUGGAGUUAGGGUUAGUGUUGGAGCUAGGGUUAGGGUUGGGCUUGGAGCUAGGAUUUUUCUGAGUGCACUGAACCAACUCCCGAGUCUCUAGGACAUUCCUAAAAAAAUUUGAUUUUUUCCCAUAGGAAUGCAUGGGUUAGGGUUAGGGUUAGGGUUAGGGUUGGAGCUAGGGUUAGGGUUAGGGUUAGGGUUGGAGUUAGGGUUAGUGUUGGAGCUAGGGUUAGGGUUGGGCUUGGAGCUAGGAUUUUUCUGAGUGCACUGAACCAACUCCCAGAGUCUCUAGGACAUUCCUAAAAAAAUUUGAUUUUUUUCCCAUAGGAAUGCAUGGGUUAGGGUUAUGGUUAGGGUUGGAGCUAGGGUUAGGGUUAGGGUUAGGGUUGGAGUUAGGGUUAGUGUUGGAGCUAGGGUUAGGGUUGGGCUUGGAGCUAGGAUUUUUCUGAGUGCAAUGAACCAACUCCCGAGUCUCUAGGACGUUCCUAAAAAAAUUUGAUUUUUUCCCAUAGGAAUGCAUGGGUUAGGGUUAGGGUUAGGGUUGGAGCUAGGGUUAGGGUUAGGGUUAGGGUUGGAGUUAGGGUUAGUGUUGGAGCUAGGGUUAGGGUUGGGCUUGGAGCUAGGACUUUUCUGAGUGCAAUGAACCAACUCCCGAGUCUCUAGGACGUUCCCUAAAAAAAUUUGAUUUUUUCCCAUAGGAAUGCAUGGGUUAGGGUUAGGGUUAGGGUUGGAGCUAGGGUUAGGGUUAGGGUUAGGGUUGGAGUUAGGGUUAGUGUUGGAGCUAGGGUUAGGGUUGGGCUUGGAGCUAGGAUUUUUCUGAGUGCACUGAACCAACUCCCGAGUCUCUAGGACAUUCCUAAAAAAAUUUGAUUUUUUCCCAUAGGAAUGCAUGGGUUAGGGUUAGGGUUAGGGUUGGAGCUAGGGUUAGGGUUAGGGUUAGGGUUGGAGUUAGGGUUAGUGUUGGAGCUAGGGUUAGGGUUGGGCUUGGAGCUAGCAUUUUUCUGAGUGCACUGAACCAACUCCCGAGUCUCUAGGACAUUCCUAAA
rnacentral:lncRNA from 1 species